rnacentral:lncRNA from 1 species
UUUAUUCAACUUGGCUAUUCCUUUUUUUUCCUUGUUGUCUACACUUUUUUUUUUCGUGCCCUCACAAUUGUGCUUGCUCUACUCUCUAUAGAGAAAUUUGCUCUAUUGGCUCUUGAAACAUGUGAAUUCGCAAUUUUGACACUCCAAUAUAAUAGAUUCAUAAUUUUGACACUCCAAACAUUGUGUUGCUUGAUUUCCUGACAUUCUCCCUUUCUAAUAUAUUUUCUUUUGUUUUUUUACUUUUCUUUUUUAUCAAAAGACUACAGCACCCUUGCCUCUCUCAUUCUCUCUUUCUUCCUGAAUCCCGGCCCAUCGAGUGAACUUAUUUUGGUACAAAUGUGAUGAAGGUUUAGUUAUCAAGCCAUCGUGUGAACUUAUUUUGGUCCAAAUGUAAUGAAGGUUUAGUUAUGAAUUAUAUGUGAGUUAUACAAUCGGUGGUUGAGAAGUGUGUGAACUAUGCCACCUAUGGAUGUGUCUAAUGUAGAGAUAUUUAUGCUAAAAAAUAUCUUGUGGCAUCAUGCCAGUUAGGUGGCCGCAAACUUAUUUGUAUUAUGUAAUGUUGUCAUAUAGCUUAGGGGCAAGAUCAACGUUUUAGGUAGCCUAAACAGCAAAAAAGAAAAUGAGUGUGUGUGAUAAGAUUAGAAUGUCAUAAAAUCAAGCAACACAGUAUUUGGAGUGUCAAAAUUGCGAAACCACAUGUUUAAGUGUCAAUAGAGCAAAUUUCUCUUCUCUAUAUAUACUCAUCCGAUAAAAAUAAUUGUCACUGUUGAGUUUCCAUUUUUUGUGGUUUACAUUGACCACUAUUUUCUAUUAUAAUAUAGGUAUAAUAUCAUAUAGAUAAAUGAGAUUAUGAAAAAAUUAAUUCAAGACAAACCAACCCAUAUGAUUUUUAUAUUUUCAAAUUAAAUAUCUUGAAACUUAUUGACAGUCGAUAUUUCAAUAGUUUGACUGGAAAAUGUGGCCUUUUCGCUCAACAGGGAAAUUACUUUAUUUGGGUAUCUGUGUAACACUAAGUUCUAAAUUCCCUGUGAACUGAGCGGAGUUAAGUUGGUAAGUUUCCUUGUGGUGGAGCCUGUCCACCCAAUUUCGAGUUCUCGACUCGGUAUGGGUUUUCACAUUUUUCCUAGAUUUGUUCGAUGAAUUAAUUGGCGUUAUUCUUUCAGUGGUAGGCUCGACGUGCCCAUCAAUAGCGAAGCGCAUCUGAUGACUUCAUCGAUCUUAAGAUCUAUCGGCUCAGUCUCUUGGAGGUGCUCAUAGGGGUAAGGUUGAUUGCUUCUGUGUAUUCAUAGGGGUGAAUGCGCUUUAAGUGUUUUUGAGUGUCUUCGUUUGUACUGUGAUUCAUAAAAAAGUGUUUCUUAAUUCCCUUUUCUUCUUUGCAACAUGUGGUUGUUUCUCCUCUGUGGCUAGCUCUUGGCCCCCAUGCUUUCCACGCAGUAGCUUUACCUUUACGCUUUGCAUGCACCUGAUCUGGAGAGAUGGAGAAUGAGCUAUGAUUAGCGCCAAAUGUAUCCUGAUUCAAUCCGGAGGGAUUCGGCAACACAUGUGAAUACGGCUGAAGAUUAACUGCUGCCGAUGGGCAGCAGUCUUAGUCAUCUAAGAUUAAGCUGCAGUUAGCACUGGAUGUCACAAUUAACAACAAUCAAACACAAUGCUCAGAGACUCAGAACGUGCCCACUAUAACAAGUUCCAAUACAGUUGAUGAGUCUGACAAUUGCUAGGUAGACAUCACAUUAUACUUGAACAAUGCUCCUCAGCUACAUAGUGAAGGGGUAAACCCACAAAGUCCCUGUCCACCCAUAGAAAAGUGGCAAACUCGAUCAGACGGGGAUAUUGAGAAGAAGUGAAGCAAUUAACACGACAGAUUAAGAUUCAAGAAUCCAAAAGAUGGCGGGAGACGAUAGCAAAAGCAUCUGCAAACCAACAUGGAAACCAAUCUAUCGAGCAGAACGAGCAUCAGCAGUCGCAGCGUCGCCGGCAUCGUCGGGCCAACUCGAUAUCCCAGCAUGGGUGAGCAACGCCCAGAGGAGCGUUAUCAGCUCUCCACCCCGUGCGGUGGCCUUCAAAUGACCUCUAACAUUGUCUGAGGGAGCAAUGUACAGGACCAUCCCUGACCAGAAUUCAGCAAGCACCUUCCAAGCCGUAUCCUCACCAUCGGCCAGUAGUUGCUUUCCAAGCCUGACUCCAUUCUUGAGAACAUCAUACUUCGAAUUCACACUUAGUAAUAACUGGGCCACCUGCUCAUACUCGGCCACUGGUGUUAAUGAUAAUCCUUCUGCAGUACGGCCCGCGAGGGCACGCUUAGCGUCCUUCUUGACAGUAUCAUACAGGCUCUUGCUCCAUUCAUCAUCAUCUGGAAGCAGAUCUGGAGACCAGGCCAUUAGGUAUGCACAGUACUUUGACAGGUGAGUAGCAAUAAUCUUGUCAUUCAAAUCAGAAGGAGAACCUUCUUGACCAUGUUGGCAUGGGGGCCUAACCUCAAGGAGGCAUGUAGCAAUGUGCCAUGUAAGUAUGGUUUCAGAUGUGCCAUUGCUGCUGCAGGCCCAGAGGAACCUUCCAUCUAUUCGGCUCAGGCGUAGAGACUCUGUGCCAUUGCUUAAUUGGUGCCUAUUGUAGCUGCCUCUCAGAGCACUGAUGAUGCGGGCCUUCACUGCUUCUGGUAUCUUCACACUCCUAUCUAGGUCCGGGAGACGGAGGAGACGUCUAAGAGAACAAGCAGGGUUGUUCUUGGGUGAAGGACAAUUAUUGAGCUCUGGCCCAUCUUUUCGUCCCAAUGCUUCAUCAGCCCCCAUUUGCAAUUCAGCAGAAGGCCAAACCAAUUUUGCACGUGGAGAGAAGGCUGCAAAGAGGCAUGGUUUAUAUGGUGGCAGAUGAGAGCUACUUUGGUCCAGUUAGAGCAAACGUAGGACACUAUGUACUUCGCCUCCGCUAUCACAACCAAUGCCAGAAGCAAAAAUAAAGGAAUGUCAUCAAAGACGAAGAAUCCAAAAUUUUUAUCCUGCCUAUCGCUUACCAAGAACUUAUCAUUACACCAGAAAUGACAACGUAGCUGAUGGUUAUACUUGGUCUUCCAAUUUGAUAGGAGCCCCAUCAUGAUAAAUCUUGUAGCCAACAUGCAGUAAGUUAUGCUUAAGAGUGAGAUACUGACACUCAAGAUGGGCAACCAAUGCUUCGAAUAGGAGACUGGAAGUGAUGAGUAGUAAUAAUCUUGAACGAAAGAAAGCUCAUCUGCAAUUACCCGAAACACCUUUUCAUGGCCGCCAUCUUUGAGCAAGCUCCAGAAAUAGUUGAGGGCCCCCAUAGAUGUAACAUUGGCACGCUCAUACCUCGCAAAUCGACAUCUCAACAAUUUGAAAAAUCCAAAUGACAAGCACAGGUCAGCACGAUCUUUGUCCAUUUGCCAAACCAUGUCAACGGUCACUAAGCCAAUGCUAUUGUCAAAGUCUAAAUACCCAGGAGGCUGCUCCGGUAUACCCUCUUCUCCAAUAACCAAGAGUGGAGGAGGCACAUCCUCACCUACCGAUGCUUCACCGGGUUGCCUUGUUUCUUGCAGUUGUAACCGCUCCAUGUACAAAGAGACAGCACGAGGAUUACGCCCAAAUGCCAACGAUUUCCGGGCCUUCUCAAAUGCAUAAUAUUUUAAGACGAUUUUAGCACAAACAAUAGCAAAAGGCAUUAAUUCAAGGUAAAGGGGCCAGAUAUUGGUCGUAAUCGGACCCAUGGCAGUGACGCCGAGGUAUAGGGUCCAAACACCUUGAACAAGGAGUUGGACAGGGGGACCUUUGUUCCUACCCUCUCUAUCGCCAACAGCGACUACUACGCUAGUAUUGAUAGUGAUUAUCUGAAUGAGAAAGGCCCAUGAUACGGCUGUAAAAUAAUGAAAACCUCCACGGCAUGUCGCAGCCAAGGUUCCAAACUCAUAACUGUUGAUGUAAUCUGUUGGUGCUAAUGCUAGACAAGACGUACGAUGUAAUCGGCAAUAACAAGGUACUGGCUCCAAGAUAGAUGAACCGCGUGAAGGGGUGGUGGCGGUAGCGCUGGCAAUAGGCGCCUAUCCCAACUAUAACUCCAGCCAAGAUAGCAUCGAUGAGCACCAGCAUGUUCACCCGCCACAAGGUCCCUCCCAUGGUCUUACGGAAGGCUGCCCAGGAUUCAUGUGAGCACCUAAUGCUCGAGGAGCAUUGCUGGAGUGAAGCAUCGGAGCAGAAGGUGGUGGAAUUCUCCCCAGCCAUAAGCUAGCCGACUGCCAAACCUCAACAAAAGAACAAGAUGUUGGCACAAAUUAAACCCACAAAGAAGUAACUUAUGCUCCAAGGGACAUGUACUAGGCGAAAUUAAAAGCUUGAUUUCCUUUAUAAAGGAACUAAACGAUUGAAAUGUAACAAGACGACAGUUGCUUGGUGAUUGUAUUAGGGCAGUCCCAAUGGGACAUUGAUGAUAGUUUCUAUCCCUCUUAAUUAUCAUGCCAACUAAGCAAUUUGCUGAUGUGGCAGUAGAUUUAUUAUGGAGAGAGAGAGAAACCAUUUCUUAGAGAGGAAACCAAGUCCUCACGUGCACCAAUGAGCCAAGAAACCAGUGAUUCAGCAUUGGGGAGACCCAAGUAGUUUCUUCUUAAUUACUGCAGGAUCCUUUGCGCUUGCACCGCUGCUACCCAUCACUCGAGCUCCUUUACAUGAUGCACAGAGGAUCUGGUACUAGAUGGGAGAAUGAUUGGUUGGAUUUUUAUUUAGACUCUACAUAAAAAAGUUGCAUUGUGAAGGAUGAUUUCUUGAUACAAUAUCCUAGACUAUGGAAACUAGGUUGGUUUCUCCCAUUAGGACUGCCCUUAUGGUAAGUAGGAAGAGAGAUUUCCACUUACAGUAGUUAUGCAAUCCGGCGGCCUGCUGGGAAAUAAUGCCUCCUUGUGUUAAUGGUUGUAUGCUGAACGGCUUUGCAAGUAAUGCGUGCGAUGGCUUAUCGUUCACGAGGUUGCGUUGUUCUCUAUUCCUUUGUCCCGAUGUGCUUCGUAACUUGGAGAGGGCUCGAAUAUAUCUGCAUGCUUUUGAUGGAGUUGUCUGCCAAUCACUCAAUCCAAACCAAUUUGACUUUCUGGAAUAUAUACUAUGUUGUUAGAGUUCAUCUUGACAUCGAUCCGCGUAAAGCGUGUAAGAAGAUAGGGAGUGGACUUUUUGGAUGGGGAAGGAACCAUAUAAAAUACUAAAAAAACAAAACUUGGGCGGGCAUCGUGAAGAUACCAGGAAAUUUUUGUAGAAUCUUACUAUUACUAAUUGGAGGCUCCUUUUGAAGCCUCCAGGUAAAGCCACCUAGGAUUCCUAGGUGGACACUCUAGAAAAAGAGAGAAAUCCUAGAAAUUCUCAUAAAAAAGCAAAACAUCCGACCAUCAAUCGAUAGAUUCAAAUCAUCAUAGCCAUUGGAUCUAUUACAUUUUCUAAAAAAUUACCCACCUAUGCCAUUACAAAACUAGCCUAAAGUAACCCCCUAAAUCUAUAUAUAAAGUACCCACCUAUACCAUUAUAUAAAAUAAACUAAAGCAACCCCUAAUCUUCAUCACAAUUACCCACUUAUACCAUUAUAAACAAUAUUUAAAAUAACCCCCUAAUUUGCAACUGAAUUGCCCACCACUGUUACUUAAAAAACUUAAAGUAACAUUUUAAAUUUGCAUCUAUCUUACCCACACAUGCUAUAUUAAAAAUAACAUAAGAUAACCCUACGUUUGAAUCAAAUAACCUUAAUUAAAAAUAUACAACAAUAUAUGAUUCUAAAUCAUCUAUAUCUUGCACUAUUGGUAUAUGAUAUAAUAAUUAAGGUCUAUACGCAUGAUGUGUGUCACCAUUUAUAAAGAUCUAAAGUGAUGUAAAUAUAGAUUUCUACGUUAAAAUUGUUUCUCAAACUUAGGGUUCAUUAAACAAAUUCAAGCGCAUACCUGCGAUGUAAAGUGAAAAGUUAAAGAUUAUAAAUAUGGAUGAAAAUAUUAUAGAGUAAUUACAAACUAAAAUCUAUCACAAUUGGAUGAAGAUAUUAAGUAUAUAUCUAUAUAAGUAUUAUGUUCGAAUAUUUAACAAACGAGAGGUAGCUUAUGGUAAUAGUUUUGUAGCAAUGUAGUCUUAUUUUUUUUCCAUUGGAGGCUCCCCAUUAGUUCCCAUGAGACAAGCUAGAAAAAAGAGAUAAAUUCUCAUAAAAAUUAAAAACAUCAAACACCAAUCCUGUAAACUCUAAUAAUCAUAGCCAUUGAUCUAUUAUAUUUUCUAAAAAAUUACCCACCACUAUCAUUGUGUAAAUAUUAAAAAAUGAGCUAUAAACCUAUAUCUAAAUUACCGAGCUUAGCUAUUAUAAAAAAUAAUCUAAAGUAACCCUGUAAUCUUCAUCCAAUUUACUAAUACUUAUCAUUAUAAAUCAUUAUAAAGCAUAACUUAAAAUGUCAUUCUAAAAUUUUAUCUAUGUUACCCACGUACGUCGUUAUUAAAAAUAACCUAAUAAAGUAAACAUGUGCAUCAUACGUCCAAAAGUAAAUUAAUAUAUGAUUCUAAAUUACCUAUUUAUGUCAUUGUUAAUAUAAAAAUACUAAGUUAAAGUAUAUACACAUGAUGAAUCCCACCAUUUAGACCAUUUAUACAUGUAUGUGAGCAAUCGAUGAAAAAUAUUGAUUUGUAUGCUAAACAUAAUGUAUGGAGGAUUGGAGGUGCGAUACAAAAUGGAAAAAGUAUGAAUAUGGAUGAAAAAGUGUAUAGAGUAAUUAUUAAUCAAAAUCAAUCAAGACAAAGAUAGGUACAUAUCUAUAUAAGUAUUAUGUUGAAGUAUUGAAAAAAUAAGAGAGUACUAGGUAAACAAUUUUGAUUAUUAGCUAGGAGUUUAAUUUCUAAAUAAUUUUCAAAUACAAUAAUUUCUAAUAAUAUUAGCCCGUGCGGGAGCACGGGUUGGUGGACUAGUCAGCCUUAAUUAAUAAAGAAUUAUGAGAUCCUGAACUAAAUACGCAAGGGGAAAAAAUAGAUUUGACUAUGAGCGAUGCCAUAUAUUCUGAACUACAUAAUACUAUGUGACAACAGACAAAAGAUUGCCGAGGACAAUCUUGACCAAAUCGACUAAGCAAAGGGAGUGAUAGACAGCUGACAAAGUGACAAGCAUAAAGCAUACCUUGAACAGAAGCAUACCGUCGAAUCGGGCGCGGAUCCAUCAAGUGGAGAUGAGCACCACCACCAGGCCCUGGACUCUGGAGUGCUUGUGCUUAACUAAUUAUUAGCUCCAUCCAUCUGUGCAAAUGGCCGUCCAAUAAUUUUUCCUGGUCGCAACUGGCCAAGGAAGAAGCAACCCUGCCUGCAUCAGAAAAUCAGACGAUGACGCACGAGAAGAUGCAUUCCAAACAGUGAUAGGAAUACGCAAUUUAAAAUGACCCUCCACGAGGACGACUAUGCCUCGUAGGAGCAUCAUGGUGUGAGAGUGAGCUGGGUGCUAGCCGGGAAAGAGACACGGUUGCAGGGCGAGGCAUCCGGGUUAAAAGAAGCACGCAUAUGAGAGUUGUUUAUCAUUCAUCAAGCAGAGAACAAAUGAUACAAAGUGCGGUAAUACACACGACCAGGGGUAUUUUGUCUGAAACAAGUUGAUGAAUACAUGAAAAGAACCAAUAAUGAUAUAUAGUACAGCGGCAAGCACUGUGAGAAAUAGAUGGCCAAGGCCUCAAUGGUAGAUGUCAACAACACCAGCAUCCUUCCAAUUAGACUUGCAGUAAUAAGAAGUCACUAAAGCACACCAGGACAACAAUUAUAUAUCUUGAACAAUUAAAAAAGUGAACAAGUGGCAGGUCAAUAUCAGCAUAAGUGAUCAGGGCUUGCUGAAAGUUUCCUUUGAUGAGAAUAACAGAGCUUUCCUAGAAUCUGCAAGUUCAAAAGUAAAUUAUUAUGAAUUAUGACUAAGGUGAAGAUGGGUUGGACCCAUUUUUGACAUUGAGUAGCGCUUAUAUUUCAGUAUCUAUUAUUUUUUCAAUGACUGACACAGAGCAAUUUAAUGAUAGCAACAAUACUCACUAUUAUGAUCACUAUGAUCUCAUCGCGAGCUCGUUCCACAAUCCGCACAAGACUUUCCUGUUGAAGGACCAUCCCUGUUGCUGAAAAAUAAGAUCAUCAUUAGCUAAGACAAUUCCAUUGAUUGGAGCACCGAAGCCUAUAUAAUACUAUUUGGAACAUAUGUUGAGAGAGAGAGAGAGACUUACGUUGGACGCGAUGCUGGUUGAUUUCCUCCAUUAUUUUCUAUGUCGGCGACGUCGUUUUGACCCCUGUCCAGGAUGCCAGCGUGGGUGAGCAAUGCCCACAAGUGCGUUAUAAACUCCCCUCCUUUUGCCAGGCACUCGACGUGCUCCUUCACAUUGUUUGAUGGCGCGAGGUAGAGCAGCAUCUCUGCCCAAAAUCCCGCCAGCACCUCCCAGCAAUGGUCAGCCUGCAUAUUCUUGAGCUGCUCCCCCAGCCUUAGGCCCUUGCGGUAAAUCGUCUCCUCAUCCCCAGCUUCUUGUGACUGCUGCUGCUUCAAUGCUUCUUUUGCAACCAGCAUAAAAGCAUGCCAUGUAUCGUAGUGGUGACCCGGGAGAAGCUUUGGUGCAAAAGCCACCAAGUAUGCACAGUAUUUGGACAGUCUUGUGGCGACCUCAUAAUGCUCAUUGGUGAUGGCACUACCUGAUGCUGAAAAUUCCCUGUCGCAGUAGCAUGUUGCGAUGUGCCAGGCCAGAAUAACACACACCUGGUUCUCCUUCUGCUGCAAGGACACCGAGCCGAACUCGAGGCCUUGGCGAAGCUUGAGGCUGCAAGCCCACAAUAGCUCAUAUGCCCCGCUGGACGACAGUGAUAACGCCCCGUUUGUCAGCUUAUUACCAUGGCGAUGGGUGCGUUCAAGGGACUGGACAAGUGCCUUCUUUACUGCUGCAAGCAACUCUGCAGGUUCACCAGGCUUCCGGACGACGCUCCGUACGUGAUUUGGUAUGACUCGGCUAAAACCUUCCAGCACUGAAAGCCAAAGUAGAAAUACAUGCUGGAGAAUGACCAGGAACUUGGUAAGCUUGGAUUGACUGGAGAAGUUGCUCAGUGAUUCAAGCAACGAAUACUGCCCGAGCUUUUGCUCGUGGUGGUGCCAGCGGCAGGAUGACACCCACAGACCAAUUUUGACAAGAAAAUCUUUAAGCCCCAUGCAGCAGCCUUUCCUUUUGAUGCGCUGGAAAGCAAAAGAUACCCUGCCCCAAAUGGUCGUCCAGUAGUACAUCACCUGCACCACUUGAAGGAAAGAGAUGCACACAAGUAUAGCUACGGUGAGAUCAAUAUCAGCUGCUGUGGUGUCCACGAUGACAGACCCCUCCAUCCCUUUAUUAGGAGGCGGCCGCAGCAGGCCUCGAGCCGUCUGGAAGGCUGUUACAACCGUUAAGGUCCCUGAGACAAGUGGCAGCACAUAUCGCAUCAUAAAACUUCCAUAAUAAAUGGCAGCAUACUUGGUGAAGAAGAAGUCAUACAUAAAAGCCAGCUCAAUCUCAAUCACCUUGAAAAUCCAGUCAUAGUCGAUUGCGGCGCUGGCCCCUCCAUCGUCAUUCUCCUUCUUCUUCUUGGCGAGCAGCCCCUUGAAGACAAGAUCACGUGUCUUGGGCUGCGAUGAUUCACCGCACUCAAACCCGAAGAAACGUCUCCGUAACAGAUGGAAAAGGGAGAAGGAAAGGCAUGCAUCCUUAAGAUCAGGGCUUAGAUCAUCGUUUCGCCACACCUUGUCUAGGUCAAUGAUAUCUGGAUCAGAAGGGUCACUUCUAAAAUGUGUUACGUACUUUCCAUCACCAAUAUAUGCACGACCAAUAUAUGUGCUGUACAGCCUGCACUCCACGAGGUAAUGGUAACCUGUCAUGGUGGCUGGAUCGUAAGCUCCUCUGCUCAUGGUGUGCUCCUGAUACAUGUAGUCAGCAACCAUUUUAUUCAAGAACCAUGAUUUGCUUGCCAUUCGACGUGCAGCUAAUCUUUGUAUAAAAUAAAUGGAAGAGACGGAUAUCAGAUAACAAAACGGGAACACUCUGAAAAAUGACCCGCCAUCCAGUGUAGUUCUCGCAAUCAUGCCCACGUAUGCGCACCCGAGAAGAUACUGGAAAAACUGUCUCAUGACCUGGCUGUUGUCGGUGAGACUAUAAGCUGUGAUAGAGUCAGCACAACCAAAGAGGAUGGACAGGGAUACUGCCCACAAUGAGUACAUGCCGCUCUUUAUGGCCGAAGACUGCAUUGAACCUAGUGUGUAGGAUACCAGGGAGGAGGACAAGGUGUAUGCACCGAAUACACCUUUCUGGAUGAAGAAGUUUCUGCUCCGACGUCGACGGGACCCGCAGGCGAUAAGGAAUAACUGCAGGAAGACAACCACUACUACGAGUACCUCAAUUCGGAUCACCGUUCCCCUAGGGCUCUUCCACAAGUCCUUAGUGCGGUUGGACAAUAAUAUCAACGUGGCAUUUGCAUCACUAAUAUGAUCAAUGUUCCUCAACGAGAAGCAGUACUCAUGAAGCUGCAACAAGCCAAAUAAAGCACUCAUGUAAUUAAAGCCUAGGGCCAAAUAAUAAUAUCGACCACAAAGGGUCACAGCUAGGAUGGACUCUAAACACAUUCCCAAGCAAAACCGCAGCGCUACGGAGGCUGUGAGGCCUAUGCAUAAAGAGAAAAAAAAAGAGCUGUCCUAUUGGAGAUGAUCCCCAUCCUGUUUCUUUGGAUCUAAAAGUACUAAAGGCCUCUUUGGCAGGGCUCUUCAAACAGCUCCGGCACUGGCUUCUGCAGGAGCCCUGUCAAACGCCAAUAAACAAAACGGCUUCGAGGUCGAAGCCCUCGUGGAGCCGGUCGCGCAAAUGAACCGCGGUGGAGGAGCUGGAAAAACCAGCUCCCCGCAGCUUGCCCAGCAUCAAACUAGCGUGAAACAAUAUUGAUUUACCCUCGAGUUCGCGUAAUUUAUUUACAGCAAAAAUGCCACAUGCAUCCCAUCCUCACCGUCCCCUUUCUUACCGUCAGCAUGGCGGCGUGCAGCUGGAGGAGCACCGCCGGCUGGCCCGGGCGCAGCCCCCAGCUCCGGCAAGCGCCGGCACGGCCUCGCAGCCCGACGUGGUCGCGAGCGCCUAGCACGGCGGCCCAGCCUCACCCUCGCCUGACAGCUAAUGUUCGCGUGGAUGGGGGUGCAGCAGCGGGGAACAAGCAAGCAAGCAGCGGCAGCAGGCAAGCAGCGCCCCGGUGUUAGCAGAGACGAGGCUGCAGGAGCAGGGACGGAAGAAGGGAUGCAGCAGGGGCAGAGGAGAACGGCCUCGCGUUGGCGUGGUUGAUUGAACUUUGAAGCAGGAUGGCGUGUGUGGUCGUGUGGAUAAGGUAAGGAAGCAGUAGAAGAACGGAUAAGUAUUGAUGAAAAAAAUGGUGAAAAAAAAGAGAAAAUAGAAAGAGGAGAGAAGGACAAAAUAAAGAAAUGAGAACAAAUCUAUAUCUAUACCUAAUAUUAAAGAGAGGAUGUUGCUUUCAAUCCUCCAGAGUCGUGGUAAUUUUGCGAACAGCCCCCCAAGCCCGCAGUCCAUCCCUCUCGCACGCAAGUCGCAACGCGUCCGUUCUUUGUCCGUUGUCAUCCUGGCAAAAUUUUGGUCCGUACCGGCCUGGAGUGAGCUUUCGUCCGGGCAGGAGAAGGAACUCGACUGACUCGAUCCUACACGUUUGCACUGCAGUCAAAUAUGUGAGCUCGUACGUGACGUGAGGCCCAGGCGGCAAGGAGCCAUCAGAGAGAUCGGUUUGGAAUUGGAUAUGUGCGAGGUGUCCUCUCCGAUAGCUCUGGCGACGAUGGAGGACCCCAAAGUGCGGUUCGCCAACGACGUGUGGGUCGACGCCACGAUGCGCCUCAAGGUCGGCUACGCCGCCGUCGUCUCCGAGAUUAACACACCGUCACGCCCAGGCGUGACCGGCGUCCUUCAAGGAUAUGUUUAGGCCCCUCUCGCUGCAACUUCUGCCAAGGAAAUCGUCACAAAAAUCCCAUGAUCGACUCCAAUCUCUCACCAUUUGCUUCAUGUCUUGAAUUUUUUAUGCUUGCAGCCCGAGGGCCUUGCCUAUUCAGGCGCGCAGGGCGUUUGUUGCCCACCGCCAGAGGAGCGUGCGGACACGCCGUGCGGCCGACCAGUCUGCUGGUUGAUCUGCACGAGUUCCCACUCAUCCGCCUGUUGAGUCAGCUUGCCGACAUAGUCGGUGCCGCCAGCUACUUCCUAGAUGAGCGAGCAGGUGGACUUGGCGGCGGCGGUCGGGCGGAACGUGGAGGGUGGGUCGACGGCGGAGGAGGAAGGGUUGAAGACCUCGAACGAGCCCCGGGUGUCACGUGGUAAUGCAUGCAAUAAAUCCAAGUCCAAGCUGGCCAGAUCCUGUAUGUGCGAGAGUUGACGUAUCUUUACAAAAACUUUGAAUUAUUGCAGCGCGAGGCAAAAUCAAUUGUAUUUUCUGCAGAGAACGAAAUGCAUUCUCUGCACAGUUUCCAGCUCUUUCAGGUUGUAUGGUGUGCUGACGGACAGAUUUGCUUUUGGUAUUGGCCAAUUGCUCAAGAAGUCCAAAAAGUCAAAUCUUCUAGAGUUGUUGGUUAUCGACGGAACUGCACAACUCAACGAGUGUGAGACCGUAACUCCCUUGCAGCUGCCUGGCAUUAGGCAGGCUUUUUUUUAUUACCUGCUCUGGUGAAAAGCAAAGUAAGCUACAUACGGUUGACUAUCCUUUUAUUUCAAAAAAAUUUCCUUUUGGAAGCGAUGUAUUGACGUGUAAUGUGAUUCUGUAGGUAUCUGACAAUGUUAACUUGGGGCGAAGUGCUUUUUUGAGAGGUUAAUUAGGUAUGCUUCGCUACGGUAAGCACCUUCUCCAUGUGCAAAACAGAAUACAUCCAAAAAUAAGCAAAAUUCCAGGUGUUACAUUUUACGAUGGAAAGAUAUCUUACGGUCCCAAUAUCACUACUAAGAGCUAUGAGAAGAGAUUUCUUCAUUUUUAUCAAGCAAAAUCUUUAGGUCGUACUCAUUCAUAAAUGUAGAUGGUGAAACAACCGAGAAGCACAACCGUAGCCUGAAAACACUAUCGAAUCUGCUGCAGUUUCGUGACCGUUGCAACGCACGGGUAUGUGUGCUAGUGACAACUAACGAGAUUAGGCUGUUAGUUUUUUGACACGGCCCUGCUCACCGCGGCUAAUCACACAGGUUAACGGAUUAUUGCAAUACUACCACGCUUUUUAAUGUAUAGUCCAUCUUUUCAAAGAAUAGUAAAAAAACUCAUGAGCACGUAUUUCAUGGAAAGACACAAGUGACUUUUGAGUUGUUAUGCACAACCUUGUGGGUACCUUAUUGAUGGCAUCUUCGCCUAGAACUUUUUUCCUAUUUUUGUCAUUUUUUCCCUCCUGUUUUAAUCACAUCCAUACCGUCUGCAUGGCCAACAUGAAUACUUGCAAGUGUCCAUGUCAUUUGAAUACCACCGGCUUGAAAACCAGUAGGGAGUGGAGUUAAGAUCCGCCACAGAUCUGAUUACUUACUGAAAGGACAGCAGGGAAUUUGAUCCAUUUUCUUAAUCGUGUUUACAAAUCUAAAUGACAGAUAUUUUUCCAUAGGAGGGAGUAUCGCCUCUUUCCUGUUCCAUGCCCUAUUUAGAUAGAGUAAUAUCUAAUAGGAUUUUGUCAUAUUUGUACUCAUUAGAUAGGUCAAAACUUCUUCUAUCGAAUAAGAUCAUAAAUGAUCCAAUUCCUUUAAGGUUUAGCUUACUUCUAUGCCUUCCAGGUAUGCUGAUCAGAUAAACAAAGCAACCUUGUCAUCCAUAUGCCAAUAAUUCUUCCCAAACAAAAAAAAAGUACGCGAAUCAUCAAAGCGCAAAUGUGUCGGUCUCAAUUAUGUGCGGAAGCAUAAAUGGGGUUUUACUAGGGAUUAGGAAAACAAAGCAUUAGCUUGUGCCAACAACUCAGUCUCUCUUAGAAUCUCUGUACAGUAUAUCCUUGUUAGAUACUCCUAUAUACACAUACCUCUUGCUCCAGAUCUGUCUCAAUAUACUCUUGAAAUUUGGUAGCCACGCGCAUUUGACAUGCAUAUUUUCCUUACAUGUCUGUGGACAGCAGCCACCCCAGUCCCUUGAAAUUUCGUAGUCACAAAUUUUAUGUCACCUGCCUGCUGCUGUCCGGCAUCGUGCUAAUUAAUCACGCCCGUAAGCCGUCCAAACCUAUCAACAGACAACCCUCCAAAUGCGUUGACAUCGACUGGCGAGCACAUGUAUUGAUACGCAUUGUACCCUCAUCCGAUCCCCAUCAACCACCCUUUACCCAAUAUGAUACGCAUUGUACCCUCUGGCCUUGCUCCGCACUCGGACCAACUUCUUCACUCUUUACAGUUUAGCCUUCACAAUAUUUUUUUAUCCUGUAGUGCAAUUGCCAUAGAAAUUUGUAUUUCCAAAUCUUUCAAAAUGUACCUAAGAACAACCUUUCAUCGUACCGGUCACAUUUUGAUCUGGUACUACUACCAGGUCCAAAUUUGUGACCCUCCGGAGGCCUUUUAGUACCACACCGCACGACGCGAGACUUUAUUUUUUUUUCCAAAACAAGUUAGUACCUGUUGGUGUUACCAACCUUUCCUUUAGUACCGAUAUAGCAAUACCGGUUUUACGAUCGGUACUAAAGGAAGGUUCGUAACCGGUACUAAAAGCGGAAUUCCCGGUAUUGCAUUUUCAUGUCUAGUAAUGUUGGAACUGGACAGGAAAAUGGUACUAUUAUUUACAAGAAAACAACAGAAUAAGAAAGGGACAAAAUAACGGACCGCUCCGACUAACAACUCUUUAUCAUUACAAAAGGUCGUGUCCGGAUGAAGAACUAAAGCGACAUUGAUCAUAUAUAGUACGUGAAAAGCUAGCAGGCAUAUGUUUCUUUUUUUAUAUGUUUCCGAAUUCCUCCAUGCGUUCCACGCAGUAGGCUUUAAUUAUGCUUUGCUCGCGCCUAUUAGCUGGUUUAGACCUUUGAAGAAUGAUUAUAUUAGUCCUGAUCGAUCGAGGGCUCAGAUCGAAUAUGUUCCUUGCUUGAGACUACACAUCCAUUAACUCACUAAUGCGUCAUGUGAUUUACAGCAGUACGGCCUCGACAAGGUAAUGUAACUGGUGAUUCCCUGAACGUCAGUGACACUCAAAGUAAAUCGAUCGUGCAUUAUCAGAGAUUAAAGUUUUAUUUAACUUUUUAACACUCCUAGUCAUGGAUCACUUGGUCGCCUAAUAACCUAAACCUGAUCGAGUUGUUAAUUACUAAUAUAGUGGUGUGUUAAAUAAGACUGGAUCCAUCAUUGCUCGGAGAACUUCCUUCUAAACUGUUUACAUCAUUUGCGUUGUAGAAAGCACAGGGAUUAAUUCUAAAUAUCCAAAUGGUUCCGUUUGAAUUCAUACAUGCCAAAGAGCAGAGGUGUGAGAUGCUAAUUUUUUGUAGUUAGAGCUUUUUUGUUUCUUUCUUAAUUCCCCCAUGCGUUCCACACAAGCUAGGUACUAGGAUUUAUACGAGAUCUCUGAACGAGGGUUGGUUAGCUUGAUAAACAAUCACGUCGAAUAUGUUCCUUGGGUGGGGGUGCCGUUCGCAAGAAUGAUACUCAAAGGAAAGGAAUUGACGGAGCCCGCACAUACGGAUGGAAGAAAGAAUGGAUAGUCCAAUAGCGACUUGACGAGGCUCAUUAUAUAUAGGCCCGUCAAAUUCGUCAAGUCGUAAAUUACGACGUAUUUGGGCCGUGUGAGGCCCACUUCGUCCUAGGUCCAUAGGACCUUUUGACUCUGGCACAAGGUCAUCUCCUCCGAGGCAAUAAUAGGUGUGCAGCAAUAGGUGCUCUCUGGGCAUUAUGUCUACCAUUGCACUUGUACUAAAAUGAAGAUAAAAAUCUUGCGAUAAAACUCAGCUGGUUAAAAACCUUGCGAUAAAACCUACCUACUUGAUUCAAGUCAUAGACUGAAAAACAUACCGAUGAAUGGGAACGUGGAAAAAAGAACCGACCAUAUAACGUCAAAAAUAGGGCAAAACAAAAUAAAAGAGAGGCUAAAUAGGGGCAAAACAAGCCCCCCCCCCCCCCCACCCCCCACCAAAAAAAAAAAAGCUUAGCACAUCAUGUAGCGUGCUUGGCGUCUCAAUAAUCCGAUGAGUUUGAAUUUGAAAGAUUGCUAGCCACACGUUACACGUGGCGUGAUGACGUUGUUGCCCAUGGAUAUUUAGAAGUCGCUAAUCCUACUUCCACAGUCGAUGUGGUAUCAAAAAGAGACCAACAAAUUUUCGAGGGCAGUGGGCCAUCCAUCCUGUAGGUUGCAGACGCCAUAACCGGCCCAGUACAAGACCGCAGGCAGGACCUGGGCACGCUGUGGGCCCAUUCGGUGCACCCAGAGUACGUUGUGCUUCCGUAUAUACUGCGGUGUGUGCAUAUACUACGCAGGUCGUUGACGCUGGUCCACACUGCGCCAGCGCCUGCGCGCAAAUAAUGAGUGGGGUCCGGCAGUCGAUCGAUCGCCGAGUAAACGCUCGUUCAGACAUGUACACAGUACACACGGGAUGCGCGCGCGCGCAGCAUUACUCCCGACUUGGUUCGUCGUCGUCGUCGUCUGCACUUGGAAUUAUUCAUGGACCGGCCGGGUCCGCCGCAGAGCAGUGGCCAACCGGCCAAGGUGGCAGCCUGGCAGGGCAAGACAUCUCGCAACUGAUUUGGAACCUGCUGCUUCCUACAGCUGGAGGAGGCUGUCCUCCCGUUCCCGGUCUCUCUCCUUCGUGGUCUCGGUGUACGCAUGCGCUUGGUACUGGUUGUAGCAGCAGUUGUUGCGAAGGAAAGGCACGAGAGCUAGGACUAGGACUAGGAGAGCUAGGACCAGGACUGCAGAUGCUCUAAGGGCCGCCGCGACAGGCCGGCCGGCCCCCAUCCAAGUCUUCCUCGCGUUGCCGGAGGGCCGGGUCGUCGUCGUUGAGUCCCCUGAUGAACAUCCUAUCCUUUCCAAUUUCCAUGCAUAUCCAGGCAUGCACGACAUGGACCGUUCCUUCUUCCACCACUCUGUGCCGCCAAUCAUCCUCUCAAUUUGCAUGCAGCCAUAUGCAGGAAACCAAAACUUGUACUGGCAUUCCCUUUAUAAAAAAAGAAAAAGCUAAGCACAUCAUGUAGCGUGCUUGAAAUUCUCAAUAAUCCGUUGAGUUUGCAAUUGAAAGAUUGCUGACCACACGUUCCGCGCGGUGUGAUGGGCGUUGGUGCACAUGAAUAUUUGAAAGUUGCUGAACCUACUUCCACGGCCAAUGUGGUAUUUUCAUUUUGUUUUCCACGUCCAAUGGGGUAUUUUAACCGAAAGAGACGAACAAAUUUUGGAGAGCAGUAAGUAUGGAUUGAGGAGCCCACGUAGGCAGGAUAAGAUUGGUGCAAGAGCCCAGGGGCCUAGACGCUGUGCCCAGGGCCCAAGACAGGCGGCGCCCUGCAUUCAAUAAGAAUUGUUCACGUGUACACUUACGCGACGACGAAUGAGAUCAUAGAAGCAACCCCUUUUUUUUCCCGUAAACCAAAGCCAACAAAGCAGCAAGCACCUCGUUCAUCAGCUAACAGCUGGGAAAGCAGAGUGAUCACUGAUGCGAGUGAGAUUAUUAUUCGACGUUGCUGCUUCUACAGCACCGCACGGAGGGUAAAAUUCUGAUGCAGUUGGUACCUACCAUUGUUCUCGUGUCCUUUGGAUGGCAACCAACCGCAGCACGCAUCGGCCGGGCAAACGCAGCACGUUCCAUCCAGUCUGGCCUGGCACCAAAAUCUACCAAUGGAAGAUGUUUGAAUCGAUCUCCCCUUGCGAACGCUGUUUUUCUUUCUUUCCUUUUCUUUUUUCUUGUUUUUUUGGAAGAUGGGAGAUGGCAUUGGAUCCUUUGCACUGGCAGUUGUGUGUGCAGCACUCCCUAAUCCUUCCUCGGUUCGGUAGCCAGAAAAAGGAAUGCCCAGCUACCCGGAGCACCGCGACGGCAGCGGCGUGCAGGCGGACAGCGGAAGCCAGGGAGGUUCCAUCCAUCCAAAAAUACCCAUGUGGCCCAAUCCCAACAACCACUUCCGGACACAAGCGAGCGAACUGCAGCUGCACGGUGCACGCUUCCGGAAGCCCACUCGCUGGCACUCCAGGGCCCACGCGAUACGCACUCCCUAGCAACCCGCGGACAACCCAUGUGGCUUUGGGCCCCUGCACCCUUUGGCUCGGACGACCUGCCGUCCCCUUCCUCAGUUCCAUCCUCGGAUCCUCCGACCUGCAUUCCCCAUGCCUUUGCACUGCAAGCUCAAAGCCUCAAAUUUCCCCAAACCAAAAGUCCAAAACCACCACUGAACAAGGCGAUGAACUUGAACAGCAUUGAAUGCAAACAAAAAAGGUAAAGAAGAAGAAACUGAUGACAAAGUCUUGUUUCCAUUCCACACACAAACACAUCUUGCUACCACUUCGGUAGCAGCACAAGCGUUCAAAAUUCAUAGCGCAUAAACACCGACACAGCUUCGCUCGUUACUCCCUCUACUGCUACUGCUUCAAUUUGAUUGCUUCUAGACUUUAAAAAGCACCUAGAAGACCAACAACAACAACACCUCUACUCUCAAAUCACAAAAACGAUCCAAGAAUCACGAGAAGUGAUCACCUCCGCUCCGCGACCAAAAACACAAGAACAAAGCUCACCCGAUCGGCGCACCAAAACUUUCGCGACCAGGCGAGAUCACAAACGAACCACCCCUCAUCUCCCUCAGUCCCCUUCCCAUCGCAACCAUCCUCUCCACAACACUACCACUGCUGCUGCUGUACAGUUCCUUCCAAUUCCGGCAAUGCCACCACCAUUCCCAGCUCACCGCAGCAGCUCGGCGCGGGACGCCGACAGCUCCCUACGGAGCUUGCACGAGAAGAGCCGGCACGCGUCCAUGCUCAGGUCGACGGCGGCCGCCAGCGCCACGAACGCGGCGGCGUCCUCGGCGCACCCGACGUGGGCCACGCCCACCUCCACCGUGGGCUUGCUGCACCGUCCCUCCCCCUGCACGGCAGCCGACAUCACGAACCCUCGGAAGCUCCCGAACGGCCAGAGCCCGUGCCCGAAGUCGCCGCUGCCGCGGGGGCUGCAGCCGGGGGACCCGCUCCGGCCGAACGGCUGCGCCGCCGUCAGGUCGAUGGCGAACCGCCCGCCCUUGGAGGCCGGGACGCCGGACUCGGCCACGCACACGCCCACGCCGGAGUUGGUGUGGUCCGGGACGAGCUCGAAGCGGUAGCCGAGGGAGUCGCCGCCUGCGCCGGCACCGCCGCGCUCGCGCCAGCACUCGAGGCGGCCCCACGGCGUCCAGGUCCCGUCGACGGGGCGGAGGAUGAGCCAGCCGCCCGGGUUGGAGCGGCUCACGCGGUCGGUCCCGGGGGAGGCGACGAAGGGAGUCACCAUCGAGGCCAGCGCCACCGGCGAGCCCGACAGGUCGUGCACCGUCACCGACCACCCCUUUCGCUCCUUCCCCGCGCGCUCCCGCUCCGACCCGAACUUGGCCAGCCAGUUGCGCCCGCCGUUCCCCGGAUCAGACUGCACCGACCUGCAUGUAUUGGAUUCCAUCGAUUCUUCCAUCAGGAAUCGGCCGCAUUUGCUUGAAUGCAAUGAGGAGACAGGAGAAAGAGUGGUCACCUUGAGCGGAGGUCGCUGUUGCUGCGGCAGGAGAAUUUGCAGGUGAACAUGGGCUGCCUCAUCCGGCCCUGCACCUGGAGCACCUGUGGGCUGCACUCCGGCUCGCCGUCGAACUCGAACACGAACCUCGGGUCGGGUUCCGCGCGCACGGUCAGGUUCAGCUGCGCGUGGCCGGCAGCAGCGCCGCCGAAUGCCGCCCCCGCCGCCGCCGGCUUGCGGCCUGCGCGGCGCUUCCCGAUGGCGACCCACCCGCUAUGGAACACGACGGGCUUGGCGGCAGCGGCCCUGAGGUCGAGCGGCACCACCACCUUCCCUAGCAAUCUCCCCGAGCUGACCCCGCACGUGGACCCCCUCCUCCCCGCGUACACCGCCACCUUGAGCCGCGCGGUGCGGCGCGCCCCGAAGAGCGCGGGCUUCGCGGCGGCACGGUCGAGGUCGGCCUUGGAGACGUGGAAGGCCGCGGCGAAUGCGCCCGUGCAGGACGCGGGCCCCUCCUCGGCGGGCGGCAGCAGCGGGGCCGAGGCCGUCUGGUAGGGGAGCUUGUUGAGGCGGAUCCGGCAGUAGCAGGGCGCGGUUGUCGGGUGCACCCCGGCGCCGGAGCUGGAACCGCCGGUGCCCCCGCCGCGCGGGGCCGCCGCCGGCAUCUUGACCGCCAGGUUGCCGACCAGCACCCGCACGAACGGGCACGGGUCCAUCGCCGGCGGGGCGGCUGCCAAUCCUCAGGCCUCAGCUCACUCGCAACGCCUUCCUAGUUCCCCCUCCUCCACGGAUUGAAGCGACGCAAUGCGGAUCGAUGGAAUGGAAGCAAUGGCGGAUGGAUUGGAGAGGAAGGGAAGGGGAAAAGGGGAGGUGGUUUUCGAUUCCGGCGAUGGGAAGGAAGGAGUGGUGACGAGGGAUCAUAGGGUAUAAGACUGGCGGGGCCCCGCCAUGCGCCGGGCGUGGCCAGCCUGGAUCCCUCCCUCCCGGUGAGCUGUGCGCGGGGCCUCCUCCUAUUCCAGCCUCUCCAGCUCCCGUGCCGGGCCGCCAUCCUCGCAGACACGUGGGCCCGGACCAGGGACCUGGUCAUCCGAGUCCGCCUGUCAGUGUCGUGGAGUCGCUGUUGAGACGGUGAGUCCGGAUAAGGUGGUGGCGUACGGGGAGGCGUGCGGGGGCGCGGAGGCGGCCUGACCGCUGGCGUGAGACGCGAGCGCCCCGCGGCCGCACCGGAUCAGGAGAGGAGAGAGAGCACGCGGCCCGAGUGAAGUGAGCCCUUGUUUACUUCACCCCAACUCCCAACUUUGACACUAUGCAAAAAGAAGAUUCCCCAUCAUAUUAAACUUGUGGUAUAUGUAUGGAGUACGAAAUGUAGAUGAAAUUAAAAACUAAUUGCACAGUUUUGUUGUACUUUGCGAGACGAAUCUUUUGAGCCUAAUUAGUCAAUAUUUGAACAAUAAUUCACAAAUACAAACGAAACGUUACAGUAUGCUACAGUGCCGCACAGUAAUUUUGACAAUUCCGAUUUUGACAACUAAGGCCUGAGUCCAGUCCAGUUGCGCGGCAACGAGGUGCGCUUUUGCGGUGGGGGUGCCGUGGGGUCCCCGCUGUGGCCGCUUUUCCUCCUUGCCUGCGUUCGCGCUCACUUGACGGCGACGGCAAGGCGAUUUUUUUACCGCGCGCCCCUUUUUGCCGAGCCCGCGGUGAAAAGGCCGGGGAGGCGAGAUCGGGUCGUGCCGAGCCGUGCGUGCCCGUACGGGCGGGCAUCCGAUUGCUUGUUGGUGGUGAGAAAGGGAGGAAAAGGACAGGGCAGCGGGGGGGGGGGGGGGGGAAGCGGGGCCCCACGGUGUCGGUGAGCCCGAGCUCGUUCAUGAUUACGGCGCGGGGGUGGGGCCCACGCCGCGAUCUUUGGCCCGCGUCGCCGUCCCGCUGUCAGUGGCAGCUGGAGUGGCCCGGGCGAGGCGCGGUGACAGUGAAUGUUAGUUUUCUAACGGUCCCAGUUUUUGUCGAGCGAAAAUAACCGGUAUAGCGUUGCUUGGUCUGCGUCUUCGGGGAGCCGAGGGAAAUUUUCGCCGCUGCUGCAUGCUGCGGUUACGGCUUGGGCAGUUAAAUAAUAGGUCAAUGAAGACAGCGGAUUUGUGGCCGUGCGGAGGAUUUGACCUGCAUCCAAUCACAGCCAAGCUAGAUGCGGUGAGCCUGGAUGAGGCCGGAUACAGGCAUCCAAUCACCCCCGAAGAGAAGAGAACAGGAGAGGUCGCACGGGCGCAAUGAUGGGGGCGAUUCCCAGCUGAGGUGAGCUGCCGGAUGCCGCCGGCCCGCCGUGAACACCACGCUCGUGUCACAUGCGCCGGCGAAUAUACUACGCAAUGAUCUGUUUUCUUUUUUAUACAAAAAAUAAUGAAAUUAGUUUUGUUGGAGGAGAAUAAUCGGGAGGCGGGGGUCACGAAUUUACGAGCGGACUAGGAAUGUGCUGCCCAUGCUCCAUGAACUGUGGGUCCGUCCAAGGGCGCGUAGGGCCCGCCUGGAAGCCACCUAAGCUACGACUACGAGUGUGAUUUUUCAAGCUUUGAAGGGGAAAAUAGAAACGAAAAAAAAAAUACUGGGUUCGUUGGGGUUGGAGUACAGCUGCGAACAGGCUGUCACGGAUGAACGGGCGAGCGGCCGUGGCGGGCCAGCGACUGUUUGUUGGCGGUGGUGAUGAGAGAGACGAGGGCCGUCCAUUUCGAAUUCAAAACCUUUUUUUUUAAGUCUACCGGCAGUCCAGCUAAGCAUAGGGGGCUCCAUUCCAUCUUCUUUUCUUGUUGUAGGACGGGCGGAUCAGCUUGGGCCCCGCUUGCCGCCGCUGGCCUCAUGCAUGUUCUAGGCACAAAGAUAAGGGAUCACCAAAAUAACUGAUGUGAUGCAUCCUCGUGCGAAGGAAGUUGUUUUGAUUGGAGCUUGUAAGAUGAGGAGUCUAAUGUACAAAACAAAAUUAAAAUAUUUGUCCGACGUGUGGCCCAUAAUAAUGCUUUGCAGGUGACGUCAAACUCAAACAUUGCAAGAAAUGGAGUGAACCUAAAUACUCCGUGGCCAAUGUGCACGAGGUUUGACGAAUAUUAGACCAUCUCCUUUUGAAAUGACAGGAGGUUAAAACUGUGCUGGCGGCUGCUGAAUACGGUGAAUAAUGACAGGAGGUUAAGAGAGUUUCUCUAGCUUUGUUGGUGUCCACCGAUUUGCCUGGAGCGCAUGAUUAAUGGAAUUCGUUUCCAUUUUCUGUUUUUUUUAAGAAAAACAAACAAAGCAGGCGCGGACAGGCGACACGACCACAAGUAGGACGACUGGGACUUUGCUAGUUGCUCGUGAUGAUCUGUCGAUUUGAAUCUUUGCUUGUUGACAAGGGUCCUAGCUAACUAGCUCUGUUUGUUUCAGAUUUCUGACAGUUUCUUAGCAUGAAAAGUUAGAAGUUUAAAUAAAUAGCGAUCUUCUCGUAUAGCUUCCGAAAAACUGGAAGAUCAGAAAAGUUGAGUUUAUAUAAAAGUUGAAAAGCUCGACUUUAUAAGUUUUUCGUAGUUUUUUUGAGCUCCGAAAGCUAGACACAUCUUCUAGAAGAUAGCAAUAGUUCUUUUAAAAAACUCAAAAACUGCAGCUCAAAAAAAGAGGAUGUAAAUCAGACAGCAACUUUGAGUGAGCUUAAAGAGGCGCACUGUGCGUCGUUGUAGCUUUUGCUUUUUGUUGGUUGCAUUUUUGGGCCCUCAAGCUAAGCUAAGCUAGCUGUUGAACCAAAGCUAAUCUCGAGCUUUUGCUCCCCGCAUGUCCUGUUCCCGGCUGGCACUAAUCAUGGCGCUAAUGACCGCUGGCCGGCCGGCCGGGCAGGGCACAGCGAUUGCUGCUGCCGUCUACUUUUUGCUCCGUCGUCAUCGCCUUCCCAUCACACCCAAAGAUUAGCUAGGACUACCAGCAGGGUUUGUCUUGAUCUGCUGCUGCUGACAGUGGGUUUGGUUUCUCCUUGCUGCGUUCGUGUCGCUGCUCGGACGACCCAUACCUGUCGUUCUUGUCUGCACUGCGGAAUCUCUGCGAAAAAACAUAAAGAGAGAUUUACAGUUCUAGUUUUUUUUUUAUGUAUAGCUGCUCUGCCGUCUACAGGUGAAGCGUCCGUGCCUCUGCCUCGGCUGCAGGCUGCCGUUUGUAAUUUCUAUGCCAACUUGCGUUCCAUGCUUUCGUCGGUAGCAAUACUUUAUCACCGUGCGUGUAUGGACAGCAAAGCUAGGUUACAAAUGGAUGCGAUCAGGAGAUUAGCUUUGGAGUUUUAAUCAAUUAUUAGUCCCUCGUCACUCAGUGGGUCAGUCAGUCAGUCAGUCAGUGAGAGGCAGUCACCAACCCAGAUGCGAACGGUGUAGGCUUUGACCGAGCCAUGCUGGCAGCGACAAGCGAACAGCUCCAAGUUUACCAUUAGUUUAUUACUAGCGCCAGUACGUAGCCACGAAGGGUGCUUGCGUACAAGGCAAAUGUUUAGUUCCUCGAAACUCGCCACUUUGAUACUAUGCAAAAAGAAGAUUCCCCAUCACAUCAAACUUGCGGUACAUGCAUGGAGUAGUAGACGAAAUCAAAAACUAAUUGCACAGUUUUGUUGUACUUUGCGAGACGAAUUUUUUGAGCCUAAUUAGUCAAUAUUUGGAUAAUAAUUCACAAAUACAAACGAAACACUACAAUGUGCUACAGUGCUGUAACAGUAAUUUUGCACCUCCAAAUUUUAGGCAACUAAACAAGACCAAGUUUAUUUUGAAACCUGUUGACGCAAAUUCAGGUUUGUGCCAAUUUUGACCAUCAAUAAAAAGCUGUUGCCCUUGCCAGGGCCACCGACUUUUAAUUCUGAUGCUCGAACCAUGGCUCUUGUAUCCGGAAAAUGCGUACCAGUAACGACAUGCGUGCUCGCUCAUUCCUGCACAACAACAAUACCAGCAGUGUACUAGGGGAAAAAAAUGGAUUGACCUGUGAUCAUUGUAGAAAAAGAUAUACGUAUUUGGUGUGAGAUGGAUGGCAAGUCAACGAGCGCGGGGCCAACAUUUAGCUGGGCUGUAGUCCACUGCACACAUCUAAUCACCAUACAAAGCCCCAACUGCCGAGACGUGCAGGUGGUGAUCCAACAAGAGUAUGCAUUGUUUUGUUUGCUCCAUACAUUUGUGUCAACUGGUCAGACCAACUAACUAAUAAGCUGGUUGCUGUUGUUGCACAACACAACCUGAGAAUGCAUGGCAACAGAGGCCGGUCUUUCCCGGCCGGCGUAUGCGUGCAUUGCAUCUUACCAUGUUCUGCUCAGAUAUGAUGGCGAUCAAAAGGAAGGAAGGAAGAGAGUUCAAAUGCAUACAUGGAAAAAAAGGAAAAUAGGCGAUUAACAAGAAAAUGGUUACGGUGUGUCUUAGUCGCGUCGAACAAGGAAAAAAAACAAGAUCCACCUAGGAGGAAUUAGGCGGUGAAUUUUCCAUUAAGUAGAAGAAAAUAUACAUCUAAAUUCGAGCUAGAAGGAAUUUAAAUCUAGAUGGUUAGAUGCACAACCACACCUUCCACUCUAAAUCCUUAAUCGGUUGAGCUAGGCUCGAUGGAGGCAGGGCUAUGGGCCCCUUCCCCCACCCCAAACCCGGUGAAAAAUGAUGACCCUACCUGCAUGGUACACGUGCUUAGAGUCAACAUAAAAAGCCAUCUAUCCACAUAUGCACGUGACAUCCAUGAUCCAACAAACAAACUAUUGUUUAGGGGCACCAUUCAGAUCGAGCAGCACAGAGACGAUGGUGGUACAUGCACGGUUCGUCUAGCUCUGCCUGCAGGUUGCAGUUGGGGAAACGCAGCGCCGGACAAUAUGCACAUUUUGGAAAUCGGAGCAUCCGACGCGCGCUCUCGGCUGGAAUGUGUCAUGCAUACAUAAACAGGCAUAGAUGUUAUCAGUGUCUAUUUGUUUUGCCUUGUCAAUGUAUAUAGCUUUUUAGAUAGAAAUGAAUCCCAUUAAACCAUAUAUGUAUUGGCUUCGUGCUAAAAUUCAGGUGCUGAUUUUGCCCAAAAAAAAAAUCAUUGCACAGGAAGGAAUAGAUUGUAAUAGAGUCGGCCAGUAGUUUGAUUUAGAAGAAAAUUAAAUCGGAUAAUGAUUCAGAACGAAGGGAGUAAUCCAUACAUCUUAAUCUAUAUUUUUACACUGGGGGUAGAUUCCAGUUUACAAGAGUGAAUUAAGGGCUGCAAGAGGGCGUCCUUUGUCGGUGGGAAGAGGGUGACGGAUCGGCUGCCGCUGGCAUCUGAAACCAAAUUACCUGAACCACACAGAACAUUCGAUCAACUACUAAUAUGGGAUUUUUUUGUUCCAUCAGCAAGCUAGCCAGUUUGGACAGAGUGGCAAGAAACGGUCCUCCUGUCAUGUUCAUCGUAUCUGUAUCUGCCGGCUGCAGGACUAAAUUACUCCGGAUUAAUGUACAAGUAGCGCGACUAACAUAAUAAAUCUGCACAAAUCUGAUGGUGAUGGGGCGACGAGAAUCAAUAGUUUUUUUUCACAGAGAUAGAUAGAUGAUUCAUCAUAACUUUAUGCACGCAACGAAUAUAUCCAGGAUGAAUGCAGUGUGCUUGCUGAGUAGACGUACUAUAUUAUUAGCGACUCGGAUCUUGUUUUCAGUAACAACAAUGCACGUCUGCACUAAUCGAACAACACGACCGAUGCUAUAUACCACCAUCUUGUGUUAGCUCGAGCUAAUCGUUUAGCAUUCGUUUGUCUGCCUGCCUGCUUAUAAUUGAAUACUCCCUCUAUCCCAAAAUAAAUGUUCGUUUAACAUUUAAAUUUUGUUCCACAAAAAAUGUUCUUUUUACCUCCUAGUGAAUCACAUCCAAUUAAAGCAAUACUCACAUCAAAAAAAAAGUGCAUGGAAAAUUGCAUUGAGCCAAUCAAAUGUUCAGAGAAUCAGAGUAGUACUAGCUAGCUUUGGGGUGAAAGAAAACUUUGCUUCGCUUUGCUGGCCGGGGAAGCAUGGAGGUGAGGUGACAAUGUCCAGGACAUGAUCCAGGUUACCUGGGAAAAGCGUUUCUCGCGCUUGCUUCGGUUCCAAGAACAUUGUCUCGUGUUCCUCGUUCUAGUCCCAUCCCAAUCGCUCUCACUGUCACGUGAAUCCAGGAGAGCAUGCAUUCGCAGCCAGCAACUGGGCCACAAAACUUUUUUUUAGAUGCGCAGAACAUUAUUUUUACUGAACGGUGGCUGUACUGGAUGGCCCAUCUCCAAAGGAGCAUGGCUACCCGUAAAAAAAAAAAAAGGUGCAUGGCCUGCUGACUCCUAAUGUGUCUGACUGAAUCAGUCCGCCGCACAGAGAAAUGCAGUAGAGUAAACUUGCAGCCCGUGCAAGGAGCCCGCGCCAUCGGCCCUCUCAUCUGAUGUGGGCUUCUUUUGUUUGUUUGGGCCCUAUGGAAUGGGCCAGGAUUUUUGUCUUGCAGUUCCACAAGCCUUUUCUUUUUGUGCCGAUCUCUCUCUGCAGCCCGGUAAUCUUUACCUAAUAUAAAAGUACGGUAAGUGUUUGUUAACUGUCAUUAUAAUGUUUUAAAAAAACUACUAAACUUUGGUACGUCGCCCUCCUCUGGCACUGCAUUGUGGGUCUAGACAUGCAACCCCGCUGACAGACGAACCCGAUUCCGCGUCAGAUGAACAAAUCAUUCCAAGUCCUACUUGUACCGCAACCCACACAAAAUCAUCGAACCAAAGUUCAAUUGGAACUCGAACAGAAUAGAAAACAAGAAGAUGGCCUCGAUUGGAAAAGUCAAACACGAUGUCUCUUCCCCACCUCUGUCAUCCGAUAGCUUCAUGAGAGGUCGCGCUGGAGCAGCGGUAGUAUUGAUAGCUUGCAGGAGACUUGCAUCAGCGGCCUUGCCCUCACCAGCAGGGGCACAGGAGGUGGCGGACGAACUGGUUAGCAUCCACCAACUGGGCCAUGUUCCCCGGAUCUGAAGGCCAGGCGGGCCAGCUUCUUUCCCAACGCACCUCCAUCGGCACUGGCAUAGUGAACCACUCCUACACCGCAGAUGAACGCAACUGGUGGGGUCUCCUCCUGUGGGUCUACAACGUCCGCAACAAAACCCAGCCACUGAACUGAUCGACACGCUGAUGUACUCCACUGGCUCGCUCGUCGACUAUAAUAAUGUCACACUGCUCUUCAAGUCCCAGCGCUGCGCGGACCUGUUAGAAUGCAUUAAAAAAAUUUAUGAUGAUUUUAAGAUGUAUCAGAUACUGUGAUUAGAACUGGGCUUUUAUUGUUGGCACACAAAAAGGGCAUUUGACUUGAGGAGGGUCUCGAUCUUGCGUGAAUUUGCUCGAGUUGGAUGGCAUGAUGGUCUCCAUGGUUCUCAUUCAUGUCGGCUACGCCAUCAAGGAAGCCAUUCCGCCACAACCGGCGUCAACCUACUGCUAUGUCAAUGCCAGCCAAGUCGAUCUAGGGAUGUUGUCGUGCAUCUUCUCCAUCGAUCUUUGUAGCUUUUCGCGGCCUAGCCGAUGAUGGGUGGGUUGAUGAGUGUUGCCGGUGCCAUGGCUCACCCGCGUGGAGGAGGUCUGGCAGCCCGCCGAGUCGCUUCCUCAUUCGACGUCCCUUCCUCCGGUGAGGUGGGCGGUGCUCCAUACCAGCGUAGUAGUAUUUUGACAGAGAGUAGAUAGUUGGGUUGGUAAAUAGUAGGACACUGGUGAAUAAAGGUGGAGCUUGGCCCUGCCGUGCUGGCCCAGCCCGGCCUUCUCGUGCCAUGGGCCGCUUUGGGCCUAGAUUGUCCGGUAGGGGAGCUUGACCAUACAUGGUAUGAAUAUGGAACUAAAGCCUUUGCCUAGACACAACCACGAACGACCCAACUUCGUGCAGUGCUAGCCCAAAGUAACAUGGCUCGUACAUUGUUGAAUCAUGUGUAAGAAAAUGUUGAAGGAUAUCGACAGUGGGAGAUUUGUGGGGUGUGAAAGGACCGUGACAUUCUAGGAGGGGAUGGGUGAAUUAGAUGUUCUAAGAUUCCAAGCACAUAUAAAAAUCUAUUCCAAUUUCUAUCUAGAUGUGCACUAGAUUUUUUUUCCAUGUGUUGCUAUCUCUGUUGCAAAAGUAUUUUGCAUCCUAGGUUCCAAUCCUACAAACUACAUAUAGCAAUUCUAGAAAAGGUAAACAUGGAAUGCAAAGUGCAAUGAGUAAUACGGAAGGUAAAUAGGGUAGAGAAUGCAAACUCCUGGCUCGAUGAAUUUUUACUGAGAUAUCGGAAAGCUCUCGUUUCCCCUAGUCCUCAUUGGAGCCCCCUCGCGAGGGAAUGCUCGCGCAAGGGCCAAGCUCCUGGACAUGUAACUCCGCAGAUAGCCGAUGGUCCUUCCCCACAUGCAAGUGGAUCUUUGGCUCUCCCGUAUUCUCCUCGCCGUCUUCACUAGGUUGCAACAACAAGGGCACAGUGAGACCGAGUGGCCGAAGGUGCCCAACAGUAGAACCGACCGCUAGCCAACCCCGCAAGAUUUAGAUGGACCCCAGGCACACAGGCAUCAACCUCCAAGCCAGGGCUAGCACACCACUGUAGGCGGCGUUACCAUUGGCUAGCACUAAAAGCUGCUACCACCAUGAGCGUCAACAUGUUUCGGAUUUGACGAAGAGCACCGUGAGUCGGGUCACCAUAGGAUGAUCCCCAACUACACCCUAGCCCCCAAUCCCGUCCUGGAUCCCGUGUGCAGAAAAAGUGUGGGAAAACAUGUUUAUUAUGGGACACAAUUAAGUUUUUUUUGAGAAUUUCCUUAAAUGGUCUAAAAAGUGGAAAUUUGGUUUAAGAAAUUUAAUAGUAGUUUGCUAUUAAAAGUGUAACUUAUUCACUCUAAGGAAAAAAACGUUAGGAAUAGCGGGCCUUUUAUGCUUAUACAGCUACACCCAACCAUCUCUCUCUCAUCCUUCCCCCUCCCCCCUUUCUCUCUCCUCAUGCAUCAAGGUCUCUCCAAAUCCGCACCGGUCCCUACUUCCGUUUCUUGUACUAAGACCUCCACACCCACUUUUAAGCGGUAGUGUCAAAGGCCUAGAUCUCUUUGAGAUCCACCAAUAUAGCCUUGGUGGUGUUCAUUUCCAAACUUCUGCUGCUGUAGGUACAUCUCCAACUGCAACUAUAUGCUAUGCCUAGCCUAUGCUGACCUCCUCCACAUGGUAGAUCUAGCUAUAGAGUGAAGCUAGUUGGUGGAUUGGUAGAUGGGGUGCUCAAAUCAAGGGCUCCUCUUCUCCUCCUUGGAUAUUUCUUGUCACCGCACCAUUCUUCUCUGGUGAUUUUAAUGGAUCCAUGCCACACAUAGAUGAGUUGUAGGCUCAGUUAAACCCAAUCCAUGUGAAACAUGUUGAGUGUGUAACACAGUAUCACAUCACCAAUUUUGCGUACGAAACAAUGCAAUGUUGUUGAUUGUGUUUCCACUUCAGGCCGCGCAUUAGUUCUUCCUGGUCAACAUGAAAUUUGUGGAAACACAAUCAAAUUGGCACAAUGCUAAUUGAUAUUUUCAAAAUUUAGAUAUAAUAUACAGCAAUGGUUCAGCUUAAUUAGAAUAGGAGAAAAUUUAUUUCCAAUCAAUAUAGUUCAAUACUACUACAGCACAUAGACAUAAUUUAUGUCUGUGUUUAAUUAGCAUUAAAUACACGACUCACAUGAAAUGCUUAUAUAAGGCAGGAUACGGUUAACCAUAGAUCAAAAGAGCUUUAACAUAAGCAUUGUACUAAACUGCAACAUGUCAUGUUAGGCUAGUCCCAGUGCAAGGUUUCAUUGCACUGUUUCCAAGGAUACCACAUCAUCCCAUGAGGUGUAUUCUCAUGAAUGAAACGGGGAGUCCCAGUGCACAAUUUCAUUUCACGAUUUCAUAGGAUGCCCAUAACAUUUAAUUGUGAGGCAUGUGAUUGGAUAUGGUUAGAUGAAAUGAAACUCUAUAGCCCCCAAUGCAAGUUUCAAUAGGUUUCAUAGUCUUGGAAACAGUGUAUACACAGUUUCAUCCUGAUGAAACUCCUUCCCUCUCUCACUUCAUAACUACCAUGCCAUGUCAUCACAUAUGCUAAUGUGUCACCGUAUUUAAUGUGCAUGAAACCUCUAUGAAACCCCCACUGGGAUUAGCCUUAGGCAACAUUAUAUACACGCUAUAUUAAUACUUGGCAUGCAAGAAGCAUAAAGGAACAUCCACGCAGAACUUAAUUGUACAAUUACCUAACAGCUACUGACAAAUGGGCCCCCACCUUGUUGAGGAAACACAAGGACUUCAGUGUCAGUGACAUGACAUUGGAAAACAAAAGUGACAUAGUAUUAUACUUUUUUGAAAAGACUCUUUAAUAUAUUGAAUCACUAGAAAAUGACCCCACUUGCUCCAUUUCUCCUAUAUAUAGGACGCUUCUCAAGCUCCUUCUCAUCAAAACACAACGCCUCCCAAAUAAAAUAUCAUUCAAUCCCCCAUAGCUUAAUUUGUAGUAGUAGUUCCUUUAAAUUCUCCAUCUGAGAAUGCCUAGGAGGCCAAGGAGAACCAGUAUCAACUAUCUUAAGAGCGAUAGUGAGAGUACCGUUACAUUCCACAAGCAGCGUAAUGGACUAUUCAAAACCGCAGCUGAACCAUCCAUCCUCACUGGCGCAAAAAUUGCUGUUGCACUAGAGUGUGAAAGUGGAAAAGUGUUCGCUUUCGGCACUCCAUCUGCAGAUCCCAUUAUUGAUUCUUUCCUUUCAGGGAAUACACCGGAAGAUCCAAUCCCUAAUGAUGAGGCACAAAAGGCCAAAAUCAUUUCUCUACAAAAUGAGCUAAUCCAGCUAAAGAACCUGAAGGAUGUGCAGGAUAGGAGGAUGUGGGAGUCUAUGGCACGUUCCAAGGAGAUUCAAGAAAGCUCAAAGGUGGCUAAGCUUAUCUAUGGAAAUAUAGAUGACCUUAGUGUCGAGAAGCUCAAUGAGCUGUUACGCGGGCUCUCACGUGUUUAUCAAGAAAUCCAAGAUCAUCUACCUCAGUGAUAUAUAUUUGAUGCAGUAAUUUCAAUUGUCCUGUGGAUGAUCAAAGAAGAUUUUGUUACUAGCUGCUUGUCGUUUGAAAAAAAGGUGGUCUGGACCAUCAGUAGUCUAUGUCUAGUGUGUUUAUUAGCGUCAUCUGCAUGUAUGGAUAUAUCGAGGACCGAGAGCUCUUGAAGAUUAUUUCAUGGCUCUGGUCCUUUCAUCCAUGAAGUGCUUUGUAUCUUUCAUAUAUUAUUGAAGAAAUGCAAUCGUUUGAUUGAAAGUGAAAGCUGCUGCCUACAUCAUGAUGAAAGAAUGGGUUCAGGGACAUAUUUCUCAUGGAUUCAAACGGUAGCUGCAGAAACAUCCAUCACAGAAAAUCAAUUGACACUACAAAAUAUGCAUGACUUUGCGUGAGCAGUAUCCUUAUCUAUAUAACAUAGCUCGACACAAACAACAUACUAUAGCAGAAGUUUUAAGCUCCUCACCCAUCAAUAUCUCGUGGCGUAGGGAUCUCAUAGGCAAUAAGUUAGCAGCAUGGAAUAAUCUAUAUCCAUAUAUUGCUAAUAUAGUGCUGAGCCAAGAGCAAGGUGAAUUUCACUGGAACAUACACCCUAUUGGACAAUUAUCAGUGAAAUCUUACUAUCUAGCCAUGAUACAUGAAGAUGUCCCCAACCUGAACAAACUUUUAUGAAAAAUAAAAGCCCCCCCUAAAGGUUAGGAUUUUUUUGUGGUACUUAGGAAGGGGGUUGGUGUUGACAAAAGACAACUUAGCUAAGCGUAAUUGGCAAGGCAACAAGAAGUGUUGCUUCUGUGCCAAUGAUGAAACGAUUCAGCAUUUGUUUUUUGAUUGUCAUUUUGCACGCACAAUAUGGUCCAUCACACAUGCAGCUUCAGGUCUUCCGCAGCCUCAUAGCAUAUCACAUAUGUUUGGGAAUUGGUUAUGAGGUAUAAGCAAAGAAAUGAAACCACUAGUCCUGCUAGGAGCGGCUGCCACUUGUUGGUCGUUAUGGCUUUGCAGCAAUGAUUGUGUCUUUGAAAGAAAACUUAAUCCUUCUCCUUUGCAGGUUAUCUUCUCAGUUAUCCAUUGGCUUCAUUCGUGGAUUAUGCUACAAAAACCAGCUUCACAGGGCUUCCUUGCAGUGGCAUCGCAGCACUUGGCUCAGGUGGCCAAGGAGUUUUUUACCCAGGCACAUGGAUGGCGGUCUAGUCUACGGAUUGACAGCCAUUAGCUCCCUGAUUAUGCAUUUUUUCUUUCUUUCUUUUGGCUGUGUGCAUCCUGGUAAUGUAGAAGCCGGGAAAAUAGUUCAAGGAAUUUGUUCGAUGUAAAAACCUUGAAUUUAACAAAAUUUGCCUUAUCGAAAGGAAAAAAACAAAUAUGCAUGACUUGGUACCUGAAGUGUUGUCUCAAGCUGGUCGCAUCUUUGUAUCUAUGAUUCCCACUUUGUUUUGUGCAAUAUGCAGAAGACAAAAUAUUUUUCGUAGACUGAUCAGGGGAAUAGAAAGAUCAUCACAAUACCAUGCAUCCAGUAGACUAGAAUCAGAAAAAUAGCACGAACUCUACCUAGCUAAAAAAUAUUUUGCACACGGAUCCAUGGGUUUAAGAAGAUGGCCUGAUCCGGUCUAUCUUGGAGAGAUAUUUCCAGUGUUUGCUUCUGGAACAAACAAAUGCCAUCUUCCUUUGGAAGGCAAUUUGUGGGUUAGAUGGUCUACGUAGAAAUUACGCUAGGUGAAUGACUGUUUGACGGUAAUGCCUGUGUGGGCGUCCAACAAUGCCGUCAGAAUAUCACCUCGCAGGCUCUGGAUGGACGCAUGCAUGGCUCUCCUCGACAUCCUUCUUACUUUACAUUACUGAUCUCCUCCCCCCCCCCCCCCCCCCCCCCCUCCUCUCCUCUCUCUCUCCCUCUCCCUCUCCCUCUCUCUCUCUCCCUCUCCCUCUCUCCCCACUGAUGGUGAGCGCCUCUCAGAUGCACGACAAGCAGAGGCUCGCUUUGAUGAUGCCAUGUGUGGCGACCAAGGGCACCCAAGAGGCCGUCCUCGAUGCAUACCGCAGCAUGAGCUACGCAUAAUUGACCAGAUCGCCGAUCUGAAGCUGCUCGAGACCAAAUACUUGACCAAGGGCGGCCUAGAGGCUGUUCUCGGGUCACUCUCCAUGUCCGCCGGGAUCUUGAGGAUGCCUACGCAACGCAAAGGCAACCUAGGCGAUGUGGCUCUUAGAGGUUCUGGUUGUGCAAGGUGCACGAGACUACUCCUCUUAUCCUCGGCCUCUGUCGCACAUAACAUGGGUGUGCAGGCAAGAUAGAAAUUGAUAGAUGACUGGUGUGCUAUGAUUCUUUGAUUAGCUCUUCCUCAAUGUUUUCAGCUGGUACCAUACAAGGAGGAUCCCAGACGAGAUAUUGUGACUUCUCUUUUAUGUUCCAAUCUGGUUUUUCUGAUGUAGCAAGAUCUAUCCCCCCCCUCCCCCCCCUUCAGUUUCAGUCUACCGGUUGUUGCAACAGCUAUUUUCUGGUGUUGCUAUCUUUGUUUUUGAAUAAAUAGAGAUAUUGCAUUAUUCUCAUCCUCCUUUGCAAGAAUUUGUUUUAAUUGUUGUGUUAGUCUUUUUCCAUGUCGCAUAAUGUGUUCUAGGAUAUAUGUUUCAGUAGCUGAUUUGCAAAGUUCUGGUUCUUAUAGAAAAAGGAGAGAGAUUGCAUGAAACAUCUACAUUUGUUGCAGUGGGUAUUUGAUUUUCUUAGGAUCUCCUGAGAUCAGAUGACACGGAGCUUUUAUUUUCAUCUAUCAUAUAUUUUGGACGAUGUUGAAAAAGGUAAACGGCAAUGUUGCAGUUUGAAUUUUGCAUGUUGCGACAGACCGCCCCGUAGGAAAUUUUGGUGCUAGCAGCACUGAUUGUUUACACCACACUCCUGGUAUAUCACUGUUUUGUUAUAUUCCACCAUCACUUCUAAAUUUAAUACCAAAAAUUCUACAUAAUGAUUGAUGCUUUCAGUAGAUUCAGGAAUGGCCUUCAGCCGAUUGAGUUUUACGUUCACCAUUUCCAUCAUUUAAGGCAGGCCUUUAGUUUAUUUUUUGGAGCAUCAUCUUGCAUUGAGAUGGUAAUAAAAUUUGAAAAUAUUUUUCCAUAUUUGAAAAGGAUUGCCCCUGAGGGGAAGUUUCAAUGACAUUUCAAUUAUAACAGCAAAAUUUGUAUUCAACACUAUUUUGCUGGAUCACAUUGCUCGUUAAUACUCCCUAGGGUUAGGAUACUCUCACAUAGCAAGACAAGGAACAUGUUUAUCCUGUAGGUAGAACUUUUACUAUAUUAUCGUGCACUAAACCAAGAGUUUGUUCGAUUGCAUGGCAUUAAUAACUACACAAAUAUACACACAAAAAUAUAGCAAAGAAACACCUUUUGGUCAAAACCCGGUUAUCCUGUACUGGUAGUAGAAUGCAUAGGCAUCAUACGUAGCUAUCUUUGAUUAGCAUUAAAUAGUCGACUUACAAUGAACAUAUGUAUAUUGGCAGGAUGAUUUCAAGCGGUUACCAAAGGAUUUUUUAAUUAAUGCCUGCCUAAAGUGUAAUAUGACAUUUUAAGCCGAAAUAAAUGCGCAGUUUUCGUUUUGAAAAUAAAUAAUAUUUAAAUAAUGUAUAAAAAUAGAUGAGGAAGUGAUAUCUAUCUAAACUUAAUUUAUACUUUCCUUAUUGUUACUGACAAAUGGGUCUCACCUUAUCCAUGCAAAACAAGGACCCCUUCUGUCGGUGAUAUUCCUAAGUGACGUUUGGUAAUAUACCUUUUCUUACAAAAACAUUUUCAUAUACACUAGAAUUUUUGGAAAACUGUCUCACUGACAGCCCUUUUUCAUCUAUAUAUAGGACUCUUCCUCGGAUCAUUCACAUCAGAACACAUUUCCUCUCAAAAACAACGAAAUCAUUUCUUACUCACACACCAAUAGUAGUAGCUUUGAAUUCUCCACAUUAGAAUGACUAGGCCAAGGAGAUCCGGAAUUAGCUACAUCCAAAAUAAUAAUAGCCGUAGCAUCACAUUCUUCAAGCGGCGUGCCGGGCUUUACAAAACCGCCGCUGACCUAUCCACCCUCACUGGCGCGCGAGUUGCUAUUGCGCUAGAGUCCGAGAGCGGAAAGAUGUCCUCUUUCGGCACCCCAUCGGCUGGCCCUAUUAUUGAUUCUUUCCUCUCAGGGAAGGCACCAAUGGAUCCAUUCGUCAACAAGGAGCAAAAGUCCGAAAUCACCAUUUUGCAGAACGAGGUAUUCAAGGUGGAGAAAGAGAAGUUCAUGGAGGACAAGAGGACCAAGGAGACUAUUGCACGAGCCAAGGAGGUCCAAGAAACCUUAGGGAAGGCUAAGCUUGCCUAUGGCAAGAUAGAAGAUCUUAGUGUUGAGGAGCUCAAUGAGCUUGUGCAUGACCUCUCACAGAUUGAGCAGGAGAUUGAUGAUCGACUCAUCCGCCCACAACAACCUAGCUAUCAGCUGGAGGUUGGUGGGUCAAGAGAUCCAUUCCUCGGGCGGCCGUCCUCUUCGUCAUCACCUUCUUCACAGAUCCAGAUGCCACCAAGACGUUUGCCGUGGACUCCCAUACAACCAUCCUUGCAGCUUCCAAAAUCAUCAUGGUCUCUUCCACAAUCAUCAAGGUCGCGGUCCUCUCUUCUCAAUCCUUCCAUGCUACCAUCAGCACAAGCACAGCCAAUAUCAAUGCCACUGUUCCAACAUAGUCAGAUGCCACAGCAUGCUUCGGCGGUGCAACCACAGGCACAAAUGACGCUAUCGUCUACUGAAACCUAUCCACACAACUACAAUACCCUGGAGAUGCACAUCAACGGUAACAUCUCGCUACCAUUCAUACAAUCUUCUUUGAUGCCUGCGCUACCACCACCACCUUCGCCAUCCACGCAGAUUACAUUCUAUAAUGAAUUUCCUCCUCCAUCAUCAUCGCAACAACCACCAACUCCAUUGCCUAUUGAGGCCGAGCAUUACAUGGUGGAGCAUCCUGAAAACCAUUCAAGCACUCAAGACUUUACUGCUGGUCACCCAUUUGCCAAUCACCAGUGGCCUUCCCCUAUUCCUUCUAACGAGCCAUACUAUGAUAUUAGCCUGUAUGGGCUGAAUCUUUACUUGGGAGACCAUGGUGAUUAUGGAGGCCUUGUUACUGUUGAGCGUGACAUGGCUGGUCCUUCUGGUCUGCAUCAACAAACUUAUGAUUGUCCCUACAGGAACUUCUUAGGGUCUUCUUCUUCAGGAGAAAGUCAUGGGGAUUACGGUCCAGGAAAUAAUGUUGGUGAUAUGGCCCACCUCGGUGAUAGUUGAUGCCCGAGUUUCAAUUGUUCAUGUGGUUGAUUUGAUAAUAAGUUUGAGUUAUCUACUUGCUUGUCAUCAAGAAAAACCACCAAUCUAAGUCUCUAGCUAGUCUUUUUAGUGAGUCAAGCCUGUGCGUGUAUAUCCGGGGAUGAACUCUUGAAUCAGUUUACUUCGUGAGUCUGAUCCUUGAAUCCAUGCAAUGCCUUGUAUCUCUCAUAUUGUUGAAUGUAAUCCUUUGGUUGAAAAUGAUACUAGUUGCUGCUUACAUGAUGAGAAUGGACGACGGUGUGGGGAUUUUAUACUCAUUAGGUGUUUUUUUCUGCGUUUAGGCCUGUAGUAGCGCAUUAUUGUGAUUUUGUUGUCGUAAGCCCUAGUCCUCUUCAUAAGAGAAGUGGUGCAUAUAUAUACCAAACACAUUUUUACUAAUCGUUUACAAAUCAUUACCUGGCCUCUCCUUAUCUGUUCAUAAGCAGUCCAUAACAAAUGUGCCCAUACGUAUACGAUAUACCAUCGCAGUUUUCUUUAUGCAUGCAGAACACUAGGUUGGUCCACAAGAAAUACAUCCAUUGUAUGAAAUCCUUCUAGGUAUGACUGACUUGAUCUUUGAAUCAGUUAUUUUCUUUUGCGAUUUCUUGGGUCAGUUAGACAGUUACUUAUCUCACAAAUAGCAUCUUGCUAUCUACAGUAUUUAAAAGGAUUCAGUUACUGACAAAGAGAAUCUUUUUUUAGCAUCGGUCAAAGCAUAGACCAUGCAUGACUGGACGCCUUGGACUAGAGAGGGAGAGAUAGAGAGACAGAGCUCAACUUUUGUUUUUCUAAGUUUCUGAACCGAGCUCGCGUGAUCUAUCUGUGAAUUUGCUUUGGAGCAUGAGAGAACAAAACUGGACCAAUCUGCAACAUGUUUUAUUUUUUAAGUGGAUGCAACAUCUUUUAUUUGAUCAGUGGAACACGAGAGUUUCAAGUUCAUGAAAGGACCACUAUGUUCAGGCCCUUGUCUUGCAAUUUGGUCGCCCGUGAUAAAAUGGAAAGACCAAAAUUGACAGUAGCCAUGUGAUAUUUGGCCAAGGAAGAAAUUUUUCUCCCAAAAACAUAUGAAAAGAAGAUGAAGUAGCAGAAAUCUUAGUCUCCCGCUUGAGAUCUUUUCUCUUUGGAGUUUACUGCUAUAAAUAAUUGAGUUAUAAAUAUAUACCCCUUAUUGAGUUUAAUUGCUGCAGUACGAGUUUAUUUUAACAUGGUCUAUAAGAAAAUAUGAUAUUAAAAAUAGAGAAGGUUGCUUGCCAUGUAAACAUUACACCGUGAGCCGCCGAUUCCUUUAUGUGUUGUAAUAAAAUUAAAAAGUUUUGCUGAUGGAGCCCUAAAACAACUUAUAUUUACGAUGUUGUAAAAUAUAAUGAUGUAGCUGUUAGAUGUCCUUUAACUGCUCCUUUUCCCAUUGCUCCUAUUUCUUAUCCGUUUGUGUCGAUGGCUGCCCCUUCAUGUCUCCGAUGCAUAUCCCACUACUAGAAAAAUCACCUCUAGUACCGCUUCCCAACCCCCCUCUAGUACCGGUUGUGCAACUGCACAACCGGUACUAGCCAUCCGGUACUAGAGGGGGGUCCCCCUCUAGUACCGGUUGAAAUAACUAGUACUAGAGGGUGUUAAAAAAUUAAAAAAAGAAAGAAAAUCCCCCCACCCCCGCCGCCCCGCCAGCGGCCCCCGCCAGCCCCUCCACCCCUGCCGGCCCCUGCCAGCCCCUCCUCCCCUGCCGCCCCUCCUCCCCUACCCCCUCCACCCCCGCCGUGCCCCUCCUCCGCCACCAGCAUCCCUCCUCCGCCACCACCACCGCCUCUCCUCCUUCGCCGCCCCGCUCCGCCCACCGUCGGCCGUCGCCGCCACCGCUCACCUCGCCCCGCCGCUGCUCCUCACUGCCGGUGAGGGGUUCACGGAGGGGGGGGGGAGGGGAGGCAGUGGAAGGAGAAGGAAGAAGAAGAUAGAGGAGAGAAGCAGUGGAGGAGAAGAAGUGGAGAAGAAGUGAAGCAGUGGAGGAGAGAAGCAGUGGAAGGAAGAAGGUGAUAAGGCACGGACGGAGAAGGAGAUAAGGCAAGGGUGGAGUAAAAAAAAUCUAAGGCAUGGGCGGAGCGUGGAAAAAAUAGGAGGAGAUGGGUGCGUGGGAAAAAAAUAGGGAGCCCCUCUAGUACCGGAUGGGGAAUCCUUUAUUACCGGGUGGAAGCUCCAACCGGUACUAGAGGGUGACCUCUAGUACCGGAUGGAGCCCCCAUCCGGUAUUAGAGGGCCUCCGGGGAAUUCCAAAUUUGGAACCGGUACUAAUGCUAACAUUAGUACCGGGUCCAAAUGUGACCAGUACUAAUGUUAGGAAUGAGAGGUCAUAUUUCUAGUAGUGUUCUUCCACUAGGUGCAGCCUGCUUAUAGCACAAGGCCGACGUGGUCGUGAGGAUCAAGGCAACAGAUCAGUUGAUAGGACGCGUGGUGCUGGUGACAACCAAGGUGGAGAAUAUGCACCGCCAACUUGUGGUACCUUAUGCAUGCAGCUCGCAGACAUUUUGUAGCAGGUGCGGAGGAAGGGAAAAUGUCGGUCGUGCGGGUGGAGAUGAAAUUUGCCUGUUUGAUUAAUUAAUUAAUGUCUUACGGGAGCGCUUUCAUUAGGACAUUCUCAGUAGGGGUUUCAUUCUCAUUAAAUGAGGUGACACAUAAGCAAUUGUGAUGACAUUGCAUGGUAUUUAUGAGGAGCGAGAAGAAAUGAGUUUCAUGUGGACGAAACUAUGUGUACACUGUUACCAAGACUUUGAAACACGUUGAAACUACCAGUGAGGGUUAUAGAGUUUCAUCUCAACUGAUUUUGUCCAAUCAAAUGCAUCCCAAUUAAAGUCUAUGAGUUACCUAUGAAACUGUAACAUGAAACUGUGCAUUGGAGGUAUAAUUUCAUUCAUCAACAAAAUUUAGUUUAGAUGACAUGGCAGUGUUGGAAACUAUCCCACGAAAUCCUCCACUGGUAAUGGCCUUAAGCUUCCGGGAGCUGGUGUCUCUCUUGAGAGAACUCCCUUGAGAUUAGUGUCUCCACGCCAAGCGCCAAGCGCAUCAAUAAGCACCAGGCACAUGACCCCCAACAAAUAGUUCAAGGUCGUCGGCAUUGUUAAUAUUUCAGUAAAUUGAUUGUGAUGUUGUGCUUAGUGUUUCUUGAUGUUGCAAUAUGUGUUUUUGGGGGGAUGGUGUCCUGUACAUACAUGAUCUUGAUAUGGGUUUGUGAUGUAGCAAAAAUAAAAUCGAGCUGUUGCACAUAUUAUCCUUUGAUGUUUAGUGGGUUGAUUUGGGUAUUUCAUCUAUCUAUUUUUUAUGUUGCAGCAAUAGAUUGUUGAUGUUGUGCUUAUUGCUUUUAAGAUGUUGCAAUUGAUUUGAGAUGUUAGAUCUACUUGUUUUCCCGCUGCAAUAAUGGAUUACUGAUAUUGCAUCUCAUAAUUUUAGGCGCCGCAAAAUUUUUCAUCCAUUUCAGUUUGAUAUUGCCUUUCUGGGAAGCUGAUCUUGCAUACCUGAAUUGUGAUGUGUGACCUUUCUGGGAGAGAGAGAGACCAUUAGCCCAUAAUCCAUGGUUUAGUUUGCCAAAACUAGCUGCUAGCUUUCGGUGUUAUAGCUUUCCACACAAUUCACAAUCACAAUCCAUACAUUUUCACGGUCCAAAGCUGAAACAAGUAAGGCCUAAGGCCAAUUUCCGAACCAUAUAGCUGCGUGGAUGUUUUGGUGACGUAGCAAGUUAAACAUAGGAGAGAAAAGUUAUUCCAUAGUGGAGAUACAGCUUGGGCUCGAUAUCCAAGAUUAAAAAACAUGCUCAUUGUUUGGGUCCCAUGGAUGGGCACAAACACAUAUCAAUUAAAUGUAUUCAGUGGCAUAUGAAACAACAAUACGAUACAAUGCAUUGCAUAUAUAAGUUGCUUCUACAAACCUAUUUGAUACUCCCUCCGUCCAUUUAUUGGAAUCGUUUUAGCUAUGUGCGCAGUGACCAAGGGGGAGCUGGUGGAACCCGGUUUGCCAUUAAAUCGGUGCUUUUCUUUAACUCCGCAUGCGUCUGUUAAGUUACCGAGUAAACGCUACUUUCAGUUUCAAUCGGCAGGCCGUUACUGCGCGCUAAUCCCUCUUGAAACGCCGUUAGCGCACGCGGCAGGCUUGUUUCAGUUUCAGUCGCCAGGCUCCUUUCAUUUUCAGUCGCAGAAACAACGCGCGCUUAUGCCUUUCAUUUUCACGCGCGCUUCUUUGCCGCGCGAUGCCUUUCAUUUUCACUCGCCAUAAAUCACACGCGUGCAGUUCUCUUCAGUUUUGGCCGCUGCAUCAAAGCACCAAGCUCCUUUCCUUCCAUGCUGUAGCCUUUCAGUUCUCUUCUUUCUCUCUAUCUCUCAUUCAUUCUAUAGCACACCAACGAUGCCCGGGAUAGAGAUUGACUUGAACCAAAAUCCACCAGAAUCAACCUUAGAUAAUCCUGUAGAUUGGGAUGACAUAGGGGAGUGGGAUGGCCCUGCCAAUGAACUCGAUUAUGCCAUGAUCUGGAAUGAUGAAUAUCAAGGUGAUUAGUUAACCAUGAUCCAUGAUGUGUUCUGUCUUCCUUCUGCGUGUGAUCUGAUUUUUUUUUGCUGCUUGUGUUCCAUGUCAUAGGUGAUCAAGAUAGAGAUGGACGAACUGAAGGAGUGCAAGUACCUGAUGCCGAUGGCCAAGUAGCAUAUGGAGAUCAAGAUGUGCAAGCAGAGGGUCUUUCAAAUGGUGAUUUUCAAUUUCAUCUCUUAAUCCUUUUAGAUGAACUACCUGUGUUACAAAUUUUCAGUGACAUGUGCUAUCUGUACCUGUGUUACAUUAACAUGCUUCUGUCGUACAAAUUUGCUAUCUGUACUAAUGACAUUUGCUUUUAGAUCAAAUUUGCUAUCUGUACUAAUCACAUUUGCUAGCAGAGAUCAAGACGUGCAAGCAGAGAUCACAUUUGCUAUCGGUGUUACAUUAACAUGCUUCUGUUGUAUACAAAUUUGCUAUCAGUGACAUGUGCUAUCUGUACUAAUCACAUUAACAUGCUUCUACUGUACAGGUUCCAAUAAUAACAAACGAAGAUUCUACUCGGAUGACUUAACAAUCGCCAUAUACCUAGAGCUAUUGGCAAAAACUGAUCCUCCUAUUCUGCGCCAUGGGGUUUCAAAGGGAGUUGCACGAAAAUUUAAUGUGCCUCUAAGAGUUGUGCAGUCCAUUUGGAAAAAUGGACAAACUGGUGGAGUAAAUGGUGUUGUGAACAAAUGGUCUAAGAAUUGUGGUAGGAAAAGAAUAGAAAUAGAUUUGGAAUCCAUAAAAGACGUUCCUCUUAGUCAGCGCACCACUUUUCAGGAUCUUGCUAAUGCAUUGGGUGUCAAGAAGAGCACACUUCAUAACCGUUUCAAGGAAGGAUAUUUUCGUCGACACACUAAUGACAUCAAGUUUAGCUUGACUGAUGAAAACAAGAAGGCCCGCGUCAAGUAUUGUUUAUCCAUGGUGAAUGAUCAGUCUCUGUCUUUUAAACCAAUGUACAAUGUCGUGUACAUUGAUGAAAAAUGGUUCUAUAGGACUCGUAGGAACCAAAAAUAUUACCUUGCCAAUGAUGAAGAAAGACCACAACAAGCAAUUAAAAGCAAAAAUUUUAUUGAGAAGGUGAUGUUCCUAGCUGUGGUUACGAGGCCUAGAUUUGCUGACAAUGAUCAAUGCAUUUUUGAUGGUAAACUAGGUAUUUUUCCCUUUGUGAAAGUAGAGCCAGCAAAGAGAUGGAGCCUAAACAGGGACGCAGGUACUAGAAAUUGCUAACUUUUUUUUCCGAAUUCUCCUGAAUGAAUUAUGAGUCUUACUAACAAUGUUUACAUCUGUAGGUACCCUUGUAACAAAGGCCAUGACGUCGGUAACAAAAGAAGUUAGCCGAGAUUUUCUUGUGAACAAGGUUCUACCCGCAAUCAAAGCAAAGUGGCCAGUAGAAGAGAGAGGUUUGCCCAUAUACAUACAGCAAGACAAUGCUAAAACUCAUAUUGAUGUGAAUGACCCUGCAUUUGUUCAUGCUGCCCAAGCAGAUGGUUGGGACAUUAGGCUCACAUGUCAACCUCCCAAUUCUCCUGACCUUAAUGUAUUGGAUCUCGGUUUUUUUGCCGCAAUUCAAGCACUGUUUGAAAAGGGAACACCAAACAACAUUAACGACAUUGUGGCAAAGGUUGAUAAGGCAUAUAUGGACUAUCCUGUGCAAAGGGCCAACCGUAUUUUUCUAACCCAACAGGGUUGCAUGAUGGAGAUCAUGAAGCACAAUGGAGGCCAGCACUACAACAUCCCUCACAUGAAGAAAAAAACUCUAGAGCUACAAGGAUGUCUUCCAACUUCUCUGAGUUGCCCUAUGCAACUUCACAAUCAAGCCAUGCAGUUCAUCGGUAGUUAGAAUUAGAAGUCAUGGAAACUGCAAGCAAUAUUAUCCCUUGUUUCUCAAAUGCAAUUCAUCUUGAACAUGAAAAUUUUUAUCCAUCAGCUAACAGAGACUAGUACUGCUAAAUUUUCAUCUUAGUGCCCACGACCAAUCCAAAGCAGGGUUGCUGCAGCAUCAUUGGCAUCCUUCUCGUGGUGUCCAUACAAGAGAGGCAAUAGCACAGGGAGCAUCAAAGUAGAGGCUUCAUGAUUCACCUUGUCGGAUUGAAACUUGUUAACAUCAGUUGAAGAAAACUUCACUAGGGCAUACACGGCAUCAGGUUCGUCGACUUCGGCGUCAGGUUCGUCGACUUUGGCGAUAUCCAUCUGGGAGUCCGGCACCUCGGUCUCACCUGCAAAAGAAUCCAUCACGAACUACACCUCGCUGUCGGCCAUGGGGUCUUCAUCUUCUUCGGUAGAAUCGGGUGCCCAGUUGACGACGGCCUUGCUCUUCUGCCUCUCGUCGUCCUUGGUUCUUGAUGGGAGCGACGGGGAGGUGCAUGCAGGCAGGCUGAUGACGGCCUUGCCCUUCUGCCGCUCGUCGUCCUUGGGUGCUGAUGGGAGCGUCGGCGAGGUGCACGCAGGCAGGCUGAUGACGGCCUUGCCGUUCUGCCGCUCGUCGUCCUUGGGUGUUGAUGGGAGUGAUGGCGAGGUGCAUGUAGGCAGGCUGACGACGGCCUUGCCGUUCUGCCGCUCGUCAUCCUUGGGUGUUGAUGGGAGCGACGGCGAGGUGCAUGCAGGCAGGCGAUGGCGAUCCAUCGCAUGCAGGCAACGAUGCCCUUCUGCCUGGUACCCCCUGUGUUCCGUCCGGCCGUCUUGUCCCGCUGGACGUGAAUCCUAACGGAUAGGAACGGAGCUGCUUUUUGAAGAACGGAAAGACUGCGCCCCUUCAAUUGCCGCGUACAAAACGUACGAAACGAGGAGCCACAAACUUAAACGAUGCCAAUUCUUGGAAAGGAUUUUUUUGCUAAAACGAUUCGGAUAAAUGGACGGAGGGAGUACUAUCCUAGUGAUAUGGUAGUCUUGGAUCACCAUAUCAUGUUACAAUGGACUAGGAUUAGUCUAAGGCAUAAACAAUAUUGUUACAUUCCUUUAUAAUAUAUUUUUGGAGAACAAGGAUAAUAUGGUGGCGCUCUUGGAUUGUACAUAACCCAUAGCCUAUUCGCCCAGAAGAUGGUGUCCAAAACAUCUAGAUUUCAGUUAGCUGUAGAAAAAAACAUCACAAGCGUAUGUCCUAUAUCCUCAAACUUUGCAUGCAACUUCGUGAGCAUUUGAUGUUUGCUUGACCUCCCUGUCCUUGUUGCUCCACCUUUGCCUAUGCCUAGGCCUAGCUGAUCACAUUCAGCGGCAUUUUCACACUGCGCCUUUGUGAACAUUGCUGUCAGCUAAUCCAUCUUGUACUCGUCUUGUUUGAGGUGCUAUGGUAGGAUGGUGGGUUGGUAGGCCGACGACGAAACAAAAGAAUGAGAGCUUGGCGGGUCGCAUGCAGCAUCUGCCAUUCCACUUCAAUCCCUCUCAUUCCACUUCAAUCCACUACUAUCCAAACAAGGUCUUAGUACAGAAAACGGGCAUCCCUGUUUUGGGUUGCAGGUUUUAAUUUGCUGUGUCUCUUUCCUUGGAUCUGUCUACCUCAUGUUUUGAGAUUGUUAUCAAGUGGGCACUUUGGUCUAGUAAUAGACCACUAGAUUGUUAUUCUAGUAGUUGACAUGUAAAGGUGUAGUGAUGUGCAGUACAAGUAUCUGAUGCUUUUCCCAUCAAAAAAAGUAUCUGAUGCUUUGUGUGUGCUACUGCUCUAAACGAUUUAGUUUGCAUCUCAGUCAACUCAGUUCUAGCAUCUUAUUUCCAUUUGCCCAGACUAACAACAACCUGUUGCUGGCAUUACACUUACUUAAUUACAUAUACAUUUCAAAGUUCAAAUCCAAACCAUAUUACUUAGGCUACUUUCACCAACAUUAACGGCACUGGAAUUAACCUGCCUCAUAACCCCUCAUACCCUCCCAUGACUGUCUGUAUCACUAGUACUACGCAUGCAUGCUCAUGCAAGUUUCAGAGUUCAUUGCUGCAGCUAAUGUUCCAUCGGUCACAUGCACACAGAUGUGAAUUGUGAAGUCGUCGAUCCUUAUUAGGAGACCUUGAAGGGCUUGUAGCCCUUGAGGUCGGUGAUGAGCCCCUGGACGGAUCCGGCGGCGGCGAGCAGUGACACGACGAGGCAGGAGAAGCUCAGCACGUUCAUCCACGUCCACGUCGGCGAGAAGCGGCGUGUCUUGGCCUGCGCCAUGUACAUCUGGACGGGGAAGUAGACGGUGAGCGGCCAGAAGGACACCGCGCCGAUGAGCCCCAGGAAGUCGUUGAAGAAGGGAAAGAUCAUGGCCACGAGCGCCGUGAUCACGACGUACGCCGUGCGCCACACCAGCCGGAACGGGCUGAGGGGAAAGUCGCCGGCGAGGGGCACGCGCACGACGCGCUCGGCGUUGAGGAAGCCGCUGUCGGGCCACCGGUCGCGAGCCCAGGCCUCGACAAAGGCGAAGAUGGGCUGGCAGAAGACCUGGUAGGCGCCGAUGAGGUGGAUGGCGAUGCAGACGUUGCCGACGUCGAUGAGCCAGAAGGGGUCGUAGAAGCCGAAGCCGGUGAGGAAGUUCCCCGGGGCCUGGUUGCCGAACGCCGCGUACCCGAGCACGCCGCAGAGCAUGUAGAACAUGGUCGUCGUCGACACGCCGAUGAAGGACGCCUUCUUCAUCACCACGUUCUCCGGCGGGCUCGACCGCAGCGUGUCCUGCAUUAUUGUUCGUCAUCAAAGUCAGCCAGGCCGUUGCAUUGGUACUAGAUUACUUACUGGUUGAGUAAAAUUACUGGAACUGUAAAUUCCACAAUGCAAGGGUAAAUUUUGCGAGCUCACUGCGUUGACCUGUGAGGGCCUAGUAGUGAGAGAACUCUGCCAGCUGAGGCGUUGAGAUUAGCGCAGGGUGUAAAUGUGAAGAUGAAUGUGGUGUUGGAAACAGGUGUGGCUGCUGCAUUUGAGCCAGACUAUAGGUGCAGUCCAAUGCACCUACCAUGUUUCCCUUUUCUACUACUACCAUGGUUGAUUCAUGUUAGGGACUAAGUUCAGAGGUCACAUGUUGGGCAUCCUAGAUGUAGUGUUUGUUCCAUUUGUGUAGGAUAAGGUUUACUAUUCUGAUCAACAAGAGUAGGAUAAGCUUUACUUGUUGAGGGAUGCAUUCCAUUUUGAUCUAGGAGGGGAAAUGCUUAUCCUGACCACUGUUUCUCAGACAAGAAAACUUUGGACUUUGGUAGGUGAAAAUGAAGGGCCAAGGAGUACUUCAUGGCAAAGAUUUGGCUUGAAAACAAUUGUCUCUUUGUACACAUGCAGAGCCUAUCCAUAUUCUAGUAUGCACUAGUCUGCAACUCUGCACUUGGUUCAAUGCAGGGCAGAGAGACCCCUGUGUUGACUACUGCACCACUUUACUCUAGAAAAGAAACAUUUUAAAAAAAUUUAUUUAUGAUGUAGGAUUGGAGUGCUAAUUUUGUUCCCUUGUGAGGAGGCUCGCUUCACCCAUACUCUUUUGCAUGCAUCAGGAAUUUUGUCCCUUCCUACAGGCAACACCCCAAAAAGAUCACGGGCAUGGCCGUGGCCGCAUGCCAUGGGAGCUCAUGUACCAUGGUACUAAAGCCUUCAGAUGAGCUGUUCCUUUUUUGAAAGACCCAGAUGAAUUGCUACCACGUACGAAAUUAUUCGUCCUUCAGUUACCUGUAUAUGAGUUGCUAGCACUGCAGUUUAUGAGUUGAAGAAAUUACCUGGAUUUCUAUGAGGACAUUGGAGUAGGAGUAAGCAAAGGCGAUGUCUCCCAGGGACUGAAACGUCUUCCAAAUCUUCUCGGUCGCGGACACAUCGACCCCCACGGUCGCCCCAGUCAGCGUCGUCUUGGCGUGCACCCCACCUGCACACAGAUCAGCAAUCAAUCCAUCAGCAAACCAGCAGACACAUGCAUUGCAUCAAGGGCCAACAUGUAUGGUGCCAACAAAAAUGCCAUCGUCAACAUGUCCAAUGUCCUUACGUGUAAAGGAUGGAUGUGUCCUACCAAGAACAAUUAUCAUCUCAUUUUGUUUGUUUUUUUUCCUUUUUGAUAUUUUCCUUGCCAAUCAGUUAGCUAUACUAUACACACGUGUUAUCCAGCUAAUCAAUUUAUCGUAUCAACUGUGAAAAUAUCAGCGAGUGAGUGAGCUAGUGUAAGGACCUGCAAUCUUGGCUAUGGAGAGGCCGAGGCCGAUGGAGGAGUAGGCGAGGGACAUGACGGCGGCGACGAUGGAGAGCCACCAGAGCUUGUGGAAGUUGGGCAGCUGCGAGAGCAGGAUCUGGAUGCCCGCGAAGAUGAUCAUGUUCGUCGUGUUGGAGGCCUCGCAAUCAGCGGAGUGGCCGUUGCGGUGGAAGCAGUUGGAGCGCUUGAUCGCCCUGCAACAAGAAGUAGUUUAAUGGUUUAGCUAGGGUUCAAAAGACAAAAAGAAAACUUAACUGGGAAACCAUUUCAUUAGCAGCUAGCUCCUACAUGCAUGCAUGGCUCUGAUCAAAAUGUAGUAUAUUAUUGCAGCUCUGCCAUUUGCUAGGUGUUAUUUCAGUCUAGAGAGGGAGAGAGAAAAAGAUUGUUCCUUUUUUAAAAAAGGAAAAAGAAACAAGAUUCUUCUUCCAGGCAUGCCAAUAUAUACAAGCCACUCCUUUUCGCCACAUCUUUUCCAAUGUGGAGGGAAAAAAAGGAAGCAGUGGUACCAGCAUCUGAUUUUUCCAAGCACUUUUGAAGUGUCAAAUAAUGUUAUCUUGCCUACUUUAUUUCCCUGCCCUCCGGAUCCUUAAAAGACAUCCCUUCUUUGACUACAUACCACAGAUGACACAUCAAUCAUCAGGAUUAGCGUAUAUCUACUAUCCCUCCUCCUCUUUUCCUACCUUUAAUCCCUUUUCAAAAAUAAUCCCCUUUCCUCAUUAUUAAAGAACAAAUAAUCCGAACAGAACUUGGACUCGCAACAACAAAAUGAACAGAAUUUAGACUCGCAGCGCCACAAAAUGCUCCCUAGAAGCAGACGAAGUUUGCCGGUUUGACUGUUUUGCAUGCUCAUUUAAUUGUGCUAGCUUGCUAAAAUGACAGUGCGCACCCAGCUAGCUAUUUUGCAUACAAGCGUGAAACAUGGGAGCAGCUAGCGUGCAGUGGUGGUUCCAGACACGGAAGCAAAGCAAAAGCGUACCCCAUGCUGAUGGCCGUGGUGAUGGUGUAUCCGAUGGUGACGCCGACGAGGUUGAUGUACUGCGCCAGCGAGCACAGCCGGUACUUGGAAACCCCUGCAAUCUCUCAAAGGAAAGCCACGAGCACAAAAGGAAACGAAAUCAUCAUCAGGACAACCAUUCCAAACAAAGAUUUUGCAGAACUUGCAUCCAUGGCGGCGCCGCCGGUGAUGGGCGUACGUACCGAGGUAUGCCCUGACGGCCUGGCCGUAGGUGUAGUUGCGCUUGCCGUGGACGGGGUCGGGUGCGCGGUAGCAGUCGGCGAGGAGGCUGGAGCAGAACCAGGUGAUGACGGAGAAGGCGACGAGCACGACGGGGCCGAUCACCCACCCCAGCUGCGCGAUCGCCCACGCCAGCGACAGCACGCCGGAGCCGAUCACCGCCGUGAUGAUGUGCGCACUCGCCGUCACCAGCGUGCCCGUGCGCCUCUCGCGGCCGUCGUCGUCGAGGUCCGGCCGGUCGCCGUAGCCGGCCUCGGCGAGGUUGAAGGCAGCCACCUUCCCCGCCGCCUGCUCGUGCUUCUCCAUCACCAUUGCGCCCGCCGGCGGCGUGCUCAAGCCUCACUUCUCCUCGUGCGUGCUGUGCUCGAGUGCAGGGACACAGAUGAAGAUGGUGGUGGUGGUGGUUGUGGGAGGGAGAGGGAGGAGCGGUGGUCCUUUUGUAAGCGGCCGGCCGGGGGUGGCGCGGCCGUGUGAGGCUUGCCUUUUGCAGACGAGCGGUUGGGAUUUGAUGCGGGGAAAGCGCGCACUGUGCCACUACCUGUGUGUCGUUUCUUUUUUUUUCCUUUUUCUUUUCACACACUGUGUUGUCUCUUGUCUCUAGGACGAGUACACUCUUCCUGUAACACUAACAGCAAUGAGAGAGAGAGAGAGAGAGAGAGAGAGAGAGAGAGAGAGAGAGAGAGAGAGAGAGUAAUGAGGGAGAAUAAAAAAGAUUGCAAAGGAGAGUUACCAGACUUAAACACAUCAUCUGCCAUCCAUUCUUUAAGCUAACCAGGUUUUUUGCUUGCAUGCACAUAGGAUCAAGAAUCCCGACCUACGGUUAUUGAUGAUUCUUACUGAUGAUCUUAUCCAACCAAAGAGGUGCCAAUAUAUUUUCUCUGUAAAAUUAAAUUGAAAAUAUACUUCUCAUGGAAGGAAAGAUAAGGCUGACUUGCAUUGUCCAGCUAUAGCCACCGGCCAGUUCAUUCGUAGCAAUGCGUAUAAAUGAGUAGCUAUAUGAGGGUAAGGUUCUCUGUAUACCGUGUGGUCUUUCAAGUGUGGAUAUGCAUCCUUAUCAUGAUUCAAAAUCUUCAACAGAUUCCUCAGUUAUUUACUUUUCACCGUUACUCUCCUAUAGUAGUAGGUUCAGAUUCACAGCACACUGUGUGGAAUCUUUUGGAUGCACUGGAUAUUCAGUCGGAGUAUCUCACACCGUAUCCUGUGAUACUCAAAUGUUUACAGCUGUUCUGUUUACAAAAUAAUGAGUGCAUGCAUUCUUCACAUUAUAAAAUGGAUAGUGUUAUCACAAAGAAAAAUGUCCAUUUUCUCUCUAUAGAGUCAAUAUUUAUGAUCUUUAGGAUCGAUCAAGCAUCUGGAUUCUGGACCAACCAAUUAUCAGCGGGUCUGAUUGAUGAUCUCAUCCAGCCAAAGGGAUACCAAGCCAUUUUUUUCUCUCUCUCUCCCCUGUAGAAAAUAGAAAUAAGAAUUCCAUUUUCUGACUAGUGUAGUGUGUGUGCAUACCUCUUGAGGAGUCUCCAGUACACGGUGCAUGCUAGGAAUUUUAUGACAGGUAAUCAAUAGGUGUACCUUUUCUACAAAAAUAUAUAUGUAGGAUAGCAGUGUAUCUUUUUAUUAAAUACAAAAUCUUAGUGUAGGUAUACAAAUCUUAGUAGUAGAAAAGAUGGGCUAAUAUUGCAAGGCAAGAUUCUCAGCAUCGUUUAGAUCCUAGUUUCAACUUUUAAUUACAAAUACACACAUGUUUUCAACAUUUUUUCACUCUUUAAUUUAUAUAUGGUUCUUUGAUAUAGUGGAUUCAAGGUCUCAAGCGCCUAUCUUUUGGUUUGGAUCCCACUGUAUACUUCUGGUGUAAGGAAAAAUAAUUAUGCGUAUAAAUGAACCGCUAUUAUUAUGAGGUAAGGUUCUCUGAAUCUCUGUACCGUCUGAACCGUCAAGUGUGGAUGCAUCCUGUCCUGAUGAUUCAAACUUUCAAAAGAUUCAGUUUUUACGCCACCUGUGGAAUAUAUUUUGGAUUCACUGUAUAUUCAGUAUAAAUAUCUCACGCAUAUCUUAUCAUACGAAAAUAUUUACUGUUUACUAAUUUAUGAGUGCAUUAUUCAUAUUAUGAAAUGGAUAGUGGUAUUGCAAAGAAAAUAGUCCAUUUAUUAUAUAAAGUCCCAUAUUUCUACCUAGUCACUCUCUCUUAUUGAUUGGUACACUUGAGAGAGAGAGAGAGAGAGAGAGAGAGAGAGAGAGAGAGAGAGAGAGAGAGAAUGUUGCAGAGGGGAAUUACCAGGUUGGAGCAUCCAUCUGAAACCAUUCUUUAUAUAUGCUGACAUAGAAAUCAAGAAUCUGCUGGACCAACCAAUUAUUGAAGGUCUUGAAGGUUCUGAUUGAUGAUCUCAUCAUCCCAGCCAAAGUUAUAUAAGCAUAAAUAUGUUUGUCAAGAAAAAAGAAGCACCAGCACACUGCAUUUUUGCUACUAGUGUGUUAUGUGCGCAUGCCUCUAGGGUGUCCAGUCCAAGUAAAGGGCCGGGUCCUGGUACCAUAUGAAUCUUAGGGUCGAGCAAUCAAUAGGAGUAUAUAUCAGCGCUUUUUUAGAAAUAUACAGGAGACUAUCGUAUCUUUUUUGUUACACUACUAGCUACUCCAUUCUAAAAUGUAGAUCGUUUUGGUUUUUUAAUACAUAGAUGUUGCAAUGCACUUAGUAUAGGAUUAUGUCCAAAUAUAUAAUAAAGUCAAUGUAUCUAGAAAAGUUAAAAUAACCUACAUUUUUUAGGGAGUAGUAUGGAAUAGAUGGGCUACUAUUACAAUGUUUUCUCAUCUUGAAAGCGUAGUUUAGUUUAAAGUUCUUCGAAAAAAAGUUUAGUUUAAAGUUUUAGCAAAUAUGAUAGGAUCGUGCUCUUCAUUAUUAGUUAGGAAGAAAAUAAAGUCUUCUAUAUUUCUUCAAUUAUCAAGAUUUGACUUUUGAUAUUUCUUUUACAUUCUUUUUUAUAGUUUUAACUUAUAUUUCCCUUUUGAUAUAGUGGAGUGACGCGUCUUUCUUAGUUUGGACUACUAUGUAUACUUCUUACUGAAGGAAAACAUUUAUAAGUACCAGUCCAUGCAUUCUUAGUAGUACACAUAAAUGUGGUCUAUUACAUGUCAGUUCGUAUAUGAGGAAAGGUUCUCUGUACCGGGUGAAGUACCGUGUGAAGUGUGGAUUCAACCUCCGGAUUCAAAUUAUCAACAGCUAGUUUGUUCAAUUUUUUUAGGCGUUGCUCAUUUUUUAAUUGCAGGUUCCAUUGUUUCUAUAUCAGUACACUACGCCAGAAACGAUUUGUGCUAGCAAGUCGAAAUUAGCAUGCUGGCGGGCAAAAUUGGCACCCGCCAGCACAAAGGUGACCGGGACCGUCGGGCUAGUGCCAUCUGAGCUGGCGGGCGAUCUAAGCGCCCGCUAGCACAGAUGGGAUGCAUCUGUGCUAGCGGGUGCGUUAGGUGACCCGCGAGCACAAAUGAUACCAAGCUAGCGAAGCGAACAAACCUUAUCUCCACCCGGUACCUCUGCUCCAUCCCUACCUUAUCUCUUUGCAUUGCUGAACCUUGUCACUUUCAACGCGCACUUCUCUCCCAUCUUCACAUCUCUCUCCCUUAUCUCUGUCUCCAUAGUGAAGCUGCGGCCGGCUCAAACGAUGGAGCGGUGGUUGGCGCAUGCUGCAUCGGCAAGCUGCAGACGGCAGAGCCGCUGCUGGUGGCCCCACGCUGGUGUCUGGUGCGGACACGAGCCACGUCGGCCGGAGCCACAGGCAGCUGCGACAACACGGGUAGAGGCGCUACGGCCGGCGGACCCAUGGGCAGCUCCGGUGCGUGACAGCAAGCUUCUGCCGUUGCUCAUGCAGCUCGUCCGAGGUAGGUGCUCAAUCUUGCAAGAACAGCAGCACCGAAAUUAAUUGUAGUAGAUGAAAAAAACAAAAUCACUAUAGCACUUUUGUUUCAUUCGUAUUCGUUGCUCAGGUUGGCAAGGAUGUAGAGGGUGAUUGCCGACGCGCACCAAGGAUGAAGCGAACUACCAACGAGGUGACGGUGCUUCUUAUGUCCUUGGCCGCCGUUGUAGCUAGCUACGGCUCCAAUUGGGGAAGGAGGCAUUAGAGGCACGGCGCCGCUGCCGAGCUCUUCACGGACCUAUGCGCCCAGUGGCGACUCCGGUUGAGGAAGGAGGCAUCCGAGGCUCGCCGCCGCCUUCGAGCUUGACGUGCUCACACGGAGCUCCACGGCUGGCGCAUGGCGCAGAGGCGUAGGCCGGGUCGCGUGGGCGCUUGCGGUAGAGUCAAGAGCCAAGAAGGUCUGCCUCGGGGCUCAUGAUGAUGUGAGCUGCAGCACGAGAUGGUGGCGCGGCCACGGUGCGGACGGACGAGCGCCUACGGCUGGCUUUUUUUUUUUUUGCUAAAAUUAUCUUUGCUGGCAGGCUUCUUAAGCAUCCGCCAGCGCAGAUCGCAUUUGUGGUGACGAUCAAGCACCCGCCUGCAAAUCACAUUUGUGCUGAUAGAAGAUUGCUGGCGGGUGUGAAACCCACCAGCACAUAUAUGUUUUAGCCGCCAGGACGGAUGUUUUCUGCCGUAGUGAUAUAUUUCACACAGAAUCUCAUGAUCUGUAGAUAAUUAUAUGGUCCCCUAAUUAAUGAAUGUGUUCUUCAAAGUACAAAAUUGCUACAGAUCUUGCAAAAGAAAAAAAAUGGUAUUUUGGUACUCUUUGCUUUGUGAUAUCAAGUUUCACAAUGAUUUAUACUAGGAAAUAGUGUAUGUUGCCCCGAAAGAAAGCAAAUAGGUUCAUUAAUUCUUUUAUUUGGGAGCAAGCAGUGGUGAAAGUGCAAGUGGACUGCCACGCAUGUCUAGACUCAUCCCAUGGAAUUGAUAUGGUAAGGCUUUGAAACAAUUUUUGUUGAAGGGUGAUACUCAUGAUAAUGAUGCUGUGAAGCGACAACUCCCACUAUAGUGGUUGUGUUACUCACACUGACACCGUCGUGUAUCAAGAUGUGAUUGUGGUUGCUGAGGGUGUCAACCCUCAGUCUUGAGAUGGAUGGAUGUAAAACUAAAAUGUUUAGACUUUAGAUCAAAAUCAUUUUAAAUAAGUUACACAAUAUAUUUCUACAAACAUAACACUGUUCAAUCAACUUAUUUUUACAAAGUGAGACAACUUUGCCUAUAGUUGUCAGCUUAAAUGAGUAUGUCCUGCACGCUGGCAAAAAAAAAAGGCCUAAAAACAUGUGAUUUUUAUAAUAACUCACUUUAGGAAGCCGGGCGGUGCUACAUAUGCAUUGACUUAUCUCACACUGGUUCAUCUUUAAUUUGAGUGAAUUUUCAGCCACAGGCCAGCUGCUUCUCAGGUCUAAAGCUAGCUUGGCUUACCUGUAAAUGAAGUGGCAAAUUUUAGAUUCCGCGUGUCAAAUCGAAUCCAUAUCUAGUCGUUACACUGUAAGCACAGUCCUUGUUUGGUCACAGUGAUCAAAAUCUGGUCCAGCCCCGUUACUGCUGUGCUGUCUUGCUUUCGUUUCGCAUAUGUACCAAGCUUUGUGCAAAGAUGGAUUUGCAACUUUCUCUAAGACAGCAACACAUUCAUGAUCGAAUAAUUCUGAUACAAACGAAUAACGACAAGGUGACAUCAAUUGUCAUGUGUUCAGCAACUCGGGCUUUGUUCUAUGAUGUUGCCAUCUCUAUGCUACAUUCAUGCAAGCAACUACCCUUAAAAUAACACCAGCUGGUGGUAAUUAUAUAGUAGUUACAUAGAAAAAGGCUUUGGUCUUUCUUCGGAGAGGAAGAUGAAUUUUGGCAUGGGAUAUUUUCUUUUUUUUAUCAACAAAUCUUGCACAAGACAGUGACAGAUGACGUCAAGUAAAAUUUAAAGUGGCUUGACAUCUCCCAGGUAAAUAAGAUAAUGCAGUAGAUGUCUUCAACAGCCACAUAACUUAACUGUACUUGCCCGCCAUGAUCCAACAUAAGAAUUUCCAGAAACAACUUCCAUUUGGGAACUCAAUCCAACUGUACCUUGAUCAUGUGAAAAAUUCUAGAAACAACUCGUUGCAUCUCAUGGGAAUAUAAGCGUGGGCACAACAAUAUAUGACGUAUCUAUGGAAAAACUAACACACACACGCUAAGGUAAAAAUUUCUCAAUUGUAAUCGAUGUUCGUAUCCUCACUGUAAUAUUUGGUAUCCAUUAUCAAAAAAAAAAUCGUCAAUGUAAUAUAUCCUUUCAAGGUGCUCACCAGUCACCAUGCACCUUGUUCAUCGAUAAUUUAUUUUAUUGUACUUAAUUCAUUUAUUCUAUCUGUCGUGAAAGAUUAGGACAAUUCAGGAAGAGUGUAGUAGGCAUCACACAUUCAAAGAUACCCUCUGAAAAGUUUGUGCAUCUAGCUAGUAGCGAGACAUUUAACUGUUUCAGAGGAGCACUACUGCAUGCUUGUAUGGUUCAUUUUAUUUGGAAUUUUAAGUUCAACCUUUGAAUCAAGAAUAUUUAACCUGAUGAUAAGAAAAGAAUAUCAUUUUACACGCAACAUCUCAUGCGCACAAUCACAUUUUGAUAGAUUGCACAGCCAGGACCCAGAAAAUUCUUUUUUGACCAAGGGACCCAGCACGAUUUUCCAAAGUGGUGCAAAACAAAUGGUGAAGGAAUACCAAUCAAACCAAUCAAGAACAAAGGAAUCACAACAUAGAAAAUCAUUAAACCCCAAGCAUUCCAGACAUGACUGAUGGCCAGAGUUUAAAGAGGAUGGCUAAAGGUGAACGACCAUUAUAUUCUGAUACGGCAAAGCACUGUUCGUUGCACAAGUUAAGAUGACAGGUAGCAUGCCGCCAUGAAGAAGAAGAAGGAGAAGAAAGUUGGCAAGUACCAUUAGCGUGCAGCAGCAAAGCAAGUGCAGGUGAUGAGUUGCUAGCAAGCUACGCGGCCAAUCAAAAGCACUGACGACACUUGGACGGUCAGGAGAUAAGAUUCAGAUCUCACACGGGAGGCUCAGAAUGGCUUUUCAUGCUCCGAGUGGGAGAAUAUAUGCAGCAGAGACCGACACGUGGCCCCACAUGGCAGCUGCGUCUGAUGCCAUGCGACACAAAAGAGGGAAAAAAAUGACCGUUUGACCAGCUUGCAAAUGCAUGCAUGGCGGCAUGUGCGCCUUUUCCACCUCGCAAAAAGGAUUGAAGGGAGGCCAGAGGCUGGAAAUUUUUCCAGUCACCCUGGACGGCUGCCAAGGAGUGUGUCCCGGGCUUUUGGCUCGUAACCUAACCUAUCAUCAGCGUCUCCGAAAUGGUUCGUCCAUCAUGGUGCGCGCCACUACACUCUGCUAUCUCCACUGAGAGGGUUGCCUGCAGUGACCAACACGAGUGAAGUCCAAGCAUCUAACCUCCAACGGUUGAUUCAGAAUCUAGUACUUGAGCUUUUCGACACCACUACUGGAAAUAGUAUGGUUAUAGGAGAUUCAGUAAUUAAGAAGCUUCAUAUGCAGAUGAUGAUGGUGGAAUGAUCUCGAAGACCAUUUGAUUAAAGUAAGUGUGAUGCUAUUGAAUAUGAAACCCAGAAAGAAAAUUGGACGUCUUCAGAUGGAACUCAACAGUCAUUGGCUAGUCUCCUCUCCUUCCCGAAGCUUUCCCUACCCCCAACUCAACCAAAUGGUGGCUAAAAUUUGUCGAAGUUCCCAAAAUUUAGAUUGCCUAGCUCUCAAUCACACACUUUGGCACAAACCAAACACAAGAGACUGCUGCUGACCCAUGCAUUGCUAAGUUGGCAGAAUAUGACUUGCGUUGGAUUCUGGACCUGUUUGGUUUGAGUUGCUUAUGCAUAAGCAACUUAAAAUAAGCAACUUAUUUACUUAUGAAACCAAUCACCCUUGCUUAUUGGGUUGCUUAUGGGGCUGCUUAUUUUUAGCACAUAAGCAACACAAGAGUUGCUUAUGGGGACUAAAAUGUGCACUUUACACCUCCUGCCCUCAUUCAAUGCACUCUACUCCUCUCUCUCUCUCCCCUCCCUCGUCGCCGGAUCCCCUUCCUCCGUGCCAGCCCGCCGCUCCCGCCCCGCCGCCGGCCUCCGCGCAGGUGACGGCCUCCGCCCGCCGCUCCCACCCCGCCGGCGGCGGCGGCCUCCGCCCGCCGCUCCUCGGGCGUGUGCAGGAAAGAAGAAGCGUGGGGAGGCAAAGAGGGGUAGCAACACAAGGGGCAAAUAUGACAAUGUCCACCUCAUUCAAUGCUCAUAAGCAAGGGUAUCCAAACAGCUAGACUAAAAAUAAGAAACUCCAAAUAAGCAACUUUAAGUUGCUUAUAAUAAGCAACUCAAACCAAACAGGCUCUCCAUUGGAAGCUUAUUUUAUUCAAUGAAUGUUGGAUACCUAGACCAUGGCGAGAAACUUCCAAACUACAUAAGGUCUUACAGCACAACAUUAAAGUGGCAGAUACAUCAUGACAACCUUUUUCUUUUGCGAGUGUCAACUGUACGUCAACUCCUGUUCGGGCGGCCGCCAGUGAUUUUCCAAUCAUUUACAGGAACGUUAGUGGCUGAAAAUCUCGCAUACGAAAUUUGAAAGCCGGAAACAAGGCGCAGAAAAGUCUAAAAAGCGAGCGGCGAUUCCGGACAGCACGCCAACAUCAUACUGGGCUGGAAUUUUCGUGCACCUUGCUCGCAGGUCGUGCCUGUAAAGCGUUGGAGUUUGGAGGAUGAAAAGCGUCGUCUGCGAAGAUUCUGAAUCUAAAGGCAAGGCCUGAACUAUGGUCGUUCUCUCCCACUAGGGUUUUCUCGUGCGCUCGAUCGGCUGAUGAAUGAUGAUAACGUGGGUCGACAGUGUUGCCUGCCUCAAAGUCAAGAACACAACAGGAAUCUGUACAGACCAACCUGAUUUGGCGCGGAAGACAUCGUUUCACGUCAGCUCAACUUGAAACAAAACAGGCUGUAUGGUCAUUUUAAAAACAAAUAUGCACAUUUAUUUAUACUUGUAAAUUGUAAGGCUAAUUUGGUACAUGCAAAUAUCACUAUUACUAAUUGGAUGUUUGUUUUGAAGCCUCCAUGUUAAUCCUUAAUAAUUCAUUACAAUAUGUGCUAGAAAAAAUAUAAAUACUAAAAAUUCUCAAAAAAAAUAAAAUACCCGGUCGACAAUCUGGAUUACUCUAAUAAAUAUUGAUAAUAAUAAUUGCUAUUAGAUCAAUUAUGUUUUCUAAAAAAAUUCUCACAUCUGGUUCCAUAGAAAUAGUCCAAAGUAAACUCCUCAAUCUAUAUCUAAAGUAGUCGUCUAAUUUUCAUCUAAAUUACCCGUUAUAAAGAAACAAAUCUAAAGUGGACCUCUCAAUUUGCAUGUAAAUUAAAUCAUCUGCCAUUAUUAAAAAUAAUACAUAAAUCAGCAUCUGCAUUAUCUAUCAUUAUGAAAAAAAAAUAUUAAAAAAUACUAAUACAAUAUACAGUUAAUAUACCUACAUUUAACAUUGUUUAUAUAUGAAAUACUCCCCCUUGUCCCAUAAUAUAGCUAUAUUUAGAUUUGUCCUAAGUCAAAUAUUUUAAACAUUGGCUAUAAAUAGCAAAAAUAUUAUAAAGAUUGACAACACAAAAUAAUGUCAGCAGAUUCAACACAAAACUGACUAUCAUAAUAAGUAACCUUUUCUAUUUGAAAUAAGUUAUUUUUAGAGAUAUUGUUGGUCGAAGCUAGCUAAGAAUGUUUGACUUAGGACAAACCUAAACGCAGCUAUAUGUCACACCCGGUUUUAAAAUAAAACCAAAUGCUACCUAUAUGUACGCCAGGAUCAAGUUUCAUACAUAUAGUAACAUCAUCAGUGAAUAACAAUAAUAGUAUCGUUGAAAGAACAAAGAGUAUAUAAGAGAUUUACAGCUUAAUCCUGGAAACGAAGGUUGCAAACUUCAUAGGCAAUCGACUCGGGUCACGUAUGCCUAGCACUCAGCAUCAUCUUCAGCAAACCUCAUAGCAACCUCUUCUUCUGAGCAGCAGUUAACGAGGGUGAGUACAUUUAUGGUUGGUACUCAGUAAGGCCACAAGAAAUAACCAGAAUAAUGAUUUAAUUCCAUCUUCAAGUUUAUUAAUCAUGUGAGGGUCCAGACCGCUCUUGACUGUGAGCACGGCUGAUAUAUCAAUUUUUACACUCUGUAGAGGUUGUACACUUUUACCACAAGUUGCGUAAAAGUUCAGAAGAACUUUAGACCCAACCAUGCUAUGCUGAUCAAGCACUCAUCACACUACCAAGGUGUGACUGCAUAGGGACACUACGAGGCCUUUACAAAGAUUCCCUAAUAAGAAGUAGCCCGCUAAGGUUUCCGGAUCAGUAGCAGAGUAUAAACCUCUCUCAAGACUGACAAGCUACCAUAGAGCAUAUCACUCUAAGGGCCGGGCCAUACCCCAUCUGCCGUCGUCCCUUUUGCCCUUUCCAUAAGACUGCUUCACACUAGAGUCUCUAAUUAAUCGGACUGUAGUUCUUGUGGUUGCACUAUUUUCCUGGGUGGUUCUCCAUGUUCCAAUUAAUGCAAGGUAUUCUUGUAAAUAAGCAUAGAUAGAAAGAUGGUUAGGGACACUUGCCUUUCUUCAAAGAAAAGUUACUCUUACUACUCUGCUCUUGCUCUCUUGAAACUCUUAAUCUUCAAAUCUUUCGAACAACGAUCCUUCUACUCGAAGCAAUCAUUAGCACAACCAUACAAAGCAAACAAACAAGUACAACGAAGAACAAUACAACAAUCAAACAAAAGCUUUAAAAGAGCAUACUAAAGGAUUGGGCUCAAAGCUAAGGUCACGUAAACGGUGAAAGAAACACUAAAGAUGGAACUAUGGUUGAUAGGACAAAGCUAUCGAAAGGUUUAAAAUAUAAAAAAAAUAAAAAGACUAUAUGCUUGAUCCAUUUUAAUUAAAUAAAACAUGCACAUAGGUUAUUUCAGAGAAAUACCCUAUUUAGAAUUAACAGAAAGUAUGUUUGAACAUUGAAAACAUGGAAAACUUAAUCAUAUUUUAUUUAUUAAUAUUCAAGUGUAAGUUAUGCCAAUUUAACAAUUAACUUUAGAAACACAGAAUAUUUAUAAGACAUCUGAUCGAAUAACAUUGUAUUUCAUGUUCAACUAAACAUAUCAAUAUUGAAAAAGCAUUUAUAAUAUCAUUAAGCAUAUUAACUUUAUUUAUGAAAACUGACAUAUAACACUAGGUAGAUUUUAUUUAGAAAAGCUAGUUAUAAAUAGGAAUUAAUCAAUUAAACCUUAGUUUAUGAAAACAGGGAUAGAACCUAAUCAACUUUUAUGUAGAAAACUAAAUGAAUAAGAAUUAGUCAAAAGUUAACAUUUUAUAUGAAAACCCGUGUUGUAAAACUAGUAAACUUUUAAUUGGAAAACUUUUUUAAUAAGUAUUAAUCAAAUUGACAUUUAACCUUGAUGUUAAAAAACAAGCAUCAGGUAAAUACACUGCUAACACAUAAGUUAAGGUGAAACGAACAAAACAGACUCUAGAGCACAGAAGAAAAGCUUAAACUAUGGUUUAGGAAAAACUAGUCUACAAAGAGAACAACUAGUCUAUAGGGACAACAAACUAGCCAAAGCUAAACUGAACUAGUCGGUAGAGAAACAAACUAACAAGAUUCGCUCUAAAGAGAUGGCUGCGAAAGAUUUGGCCACAAAGAUCUAAAAGAAAGUAGAUGACUCACAAAGAGACAACUGAGACACAGCAUAGCUAUGAGAUGGAUUAUGACAAACAUGAUUCUAAGAUGACCAGGAAACAAACAUGAUAAGGCUCCUAGACAGGGAAAAUGAGUAGCACAAAACUACUCAUGAAGACAUAGAACUACUAGGCAGAAAAGAAACUCUAGGAUAAACUAUUUGGCUCACUAAAGCACACAAAAUGUGCUUGAAAAGGAAGGGCGUGGUUAGUUUCAUGAGCUCGAACUAGCACUGGAAAGAUCUAAAGCUCUAUAGAAGACUAGAUCUACAGAAGAGAUAUUGAGCUAAAGCUGACAAAGGACGGCUAUCAAACGAUUUGCAUUUAUGAGAGAACACAAGACUAUAAGUUAGGUUUAUUUUACUUAGCAAAACAUAUGUAAAGGAUAUUUCACAAAGAAAAUAUUAAGUUGGAAUUAAUGCAAAUUAUAUUUUAUUGCAAAAAUUGAGGUAAAUAUUAAUUAACUUUUAUUUAUAAAUGCUCAAGUAUAAAUUAUAUCAAUUAAACAUUUAUUUGAAAAAAUAACUUAGGUGAGAACUUGUAAGCACAUAGAUUUAUGAUUCGUGUUGAACUAACCAAGUUAUAAUUCAAAAACACAUUUAUAUUGGCAUUAGUCAUUUUAUCAAUAAUUAAUAAAAACCAAGUUAUAACUUAACCAUGUUUUAAUUAUAAAUAUUGAAGUAUAAAUUAUACCAUUUAAGCUUUUAACUUUAAAGAGGAGUUUAGAAACAUCUAAACGUAUACUUUACGAUUCGGGUGAAUCAAAUUGUUAUUGAAAACAUAUUCAUGUUGGUACUAAUCAAGUUAAUAUUUCUUUAUAAAAGUCAAUGUAAAAGCCUAAUCAACUUCAAUGUUGAACAUUAAUCAAUUAAUAUUAGUUUAUAAAAACUGAUAUAUAACCUAAUUAGCUUUUAUUUAGAAAAGCAUAUGAAGUAAGCAUUAAACAAAUUAAUAAGAAAUUUAUUUUCAAAAACAUGCAUGAUCGAAAACAUCACCACUAACAUAUAGUUUAUGUUAUCAUGAACCUGACGCGACUUGAACGGAUAUAAACAUAGCUAAAACAAAGGUUUGAUGGCUAAAACGAGGUUUUGGGACCUAAACAGAAUUAAUUGUAGAUCUGGAGGGCUAGCAGAGAAGAUUUGAAGACACAGAGAACUGCGUUCGCAAAAGGCUAAAAGAUCACGGUUAGAUCUAUAAAAGAUCUCGAGUUGGAUCUGUUUGUGAAUAUUGAGAACACCUAGGGGGUUAUCUGUGAAAUUAUCAAGACACAAGAAACAAGCUAGACAUUACAGGGUUCUCUAGGGGCUUAAAUGCAAAAGCUCGGAGCUUGACUGGCCAUGGCAACUGGCGGAUCCAGGUGACCAAAUCGCCAACGACUCGGGCGGCCUAGGGUGCAGACGGGUGGCACACGAGAUAGAGGAGGCCGAGGGGAGCUCAGAUGUUUGCUCACCGGCGGUGGAGGUGUUCUAAGAUGGUCAGAGUUUGAGGCGGGCGAUGACCGGCGGCAGUGGCUCGGGCUUCGCAUGGUGGACCUCCUCUGGUGCUGGAACAGGGAUGACGAACGAUGGCGGGUGCAUGUUCGGGCGCCGCGAAGCUCGUGGCGUCCUCCUCUUGCUCCAAUAGGCGGCAGUCGCGACGAACCAGUUGGCCAAAGCGGUGACUGGUGGCCAGCUCAGGCCCUCGCAAGUGGCGGUGUUCCGACGCGGAUUGGGCGAUGGGAACCAGUGGAAUGGGUGCGACUCGGCGUGACGGGGCUCCUAGCUAUGGCAGCUUCAUGAGCAAGCCGAGGAUGGCCGGUGGUGGUGGUGCACGCUGCGCAGUAGCUGUAGCAGGCUGUUGCUGGGCCCAAAUGGGCGGUAGCAAGUGUGGAUCGGGCCUUGCAAGCUCAACCCGAAAAGGAGGCAGGGUCCACGGGCAAAGAGAGGUAGAGGUUGCGUUAGGGUCCAGCGGGUUGGGUCAGGUUUGUUGGAUCCGACCUGAUAAGGAUUUAGGAUUUUUGUUAUUUUCCAGAAUAGAUUUUCCAAUGCGAAAACAAAUCCAGGAUAUUCUAGAUAAUGUUUUUAAAAGCAUGAAAAAUAUCUAGAAAAUUCUAAAAAUUCCAGGAAAAUUCCUGAAGACAGUUUGGUUCACGAGGAGUCCAAGUAAAAUACUUGAAGCUCAUAAAAAAAGAUUUUAGAGCUUUCUAAUAAAUAGAUUUAGCUCUACAAAAAUGAGAAUGAAUUCCAGAAAAAACUGAAAAAUUUUCAGAAGAACCUGGUCGUCGUCUAAACACAAUUUUUCUAAAAAAAACUUUGUCAAUGAACACCAAAAUGCAUCGGCAUGAAUGCAACACACCCAGAACCAUUUUAUUUAAUUCAGAAAAACAAUCAAUUGUUUUUAUUAUACUAAAUUACCUGUCAAGAAAAUAAAUAUUGGGAAAAAUUUUAAAAUUAUAAGAAAAUCAUUGUUUAAUUAUUCUUUCUAAUCACAUCCUGAAAUCCAAAAAAUUCAGGGUGUAACACUAUAUUUGGGACAUAAUAGUACUAAAUAUGAUGGGUCCCACCACAUAGACCAUGCAUAUAUGCAAGUGAUGAGAAUACCUUUAAUAUUAAACACGGAUCUCAAAAGAAUGGGCUCAGUUAAACAGAUGCCAAGCAUAUAUGGAUGUAUGAUGCAAAGUUUAAAAAAUACGAACAUACAUGAAAAUUGAAAAGGGUAUAGAUUUAGUAAUUGUUAGCUAAUAUCUUUAGCAACCGGACAAAGAUAAGUAAAUAUUUUGAGAGGUUGUUUCCUUCAAAUUGCUACCCCACACGGUAGCACGGGCUGAUCAACGAGUCUAUUAAACUGUUUGUAAUCCUCCAUCAUGCAUGCAUGUGUGUGCAAUCAGACGGCCGAAUUUCACCACUAGGCAGGAAAAAGGUGUUGAAAGUUGAAACCCUAUGCCCGGCCAUCUCGGCUCGUGGAGGAUCGGAGAGCCAAGAUCGAACGUGGCGUACAUCGAGGGGGUGGCAUCGGCAACAGCAAACUUGGGGUCGUGCCCCAAUGCAUGGCCAGAGCUCUCGGAUGGGCAAGGCUACGGGCGGGCAUUUUUAGCCAUUAGCUACAACACCUCCUGGAUGGGCAAGGACCACGCGUGGCGUCCGUCCAUGCCCUGCCGGCUGCCACGCAUGCCCUACUACCGUACGGCCGUAUGCAUGCAGCACGGCUCAUCAGCUCACGUAAGCUGCUGACAUGCUUACACGUCUGCUGGUUUGCGACGUCGUCGACGUCGAGAUGAUCCGACGACCGUGGUCGUGCACGUACGGUGGCUGCCUCGUGACUUGCAUGCGUCGCUCUCCGGCCAGAGUUGACUCUCGCGCGCGCGCGGUGUGCACGCGACGUACGCACGCAAUCGUGUGGUCCUUUGAGAUGGACUGUAGUAGCUUGCUAGGCAUUUUGCAUUGUGUACGUAGCGUAGUUUGUGUUGGAUCGUCUCUCUCUCUCUGCACAUGAGAUAUGCAUCCAAGCACCGCACCUCCCGCGGCUAAAAACAAAAGGCACCAUGUACCUAGCUAGAUCUCGUUUAGCCGCCCGGUGGAACCCGGCCGGCUAUAUCACUAGACCAAAGAAAGUUUAUAUAUGCUAAUUAAUGACGACAAAACGUGCAUCCGUGUACGUAGUGGAACCGUCAGCAACCUUGUGCCAGCAAAAAUACAUCUUUUCUAGUGGCGGUCCUGUUAUAUCUUCGUGCUGGCGGAGUGGCAGUUACUAAUUGAACCCGCGAGCUAGCACCCGAAAUCCCAUGUUGUGCCAGGACGAAUCGUUUCUGACCUACUCCUCCCAUUACUGUCCACCGGUACCGGCUUACCUUAUCUUUCACGGUGACUUAUUAGUGCCUCGUCAUCAUAGCUUAUUGCUUACUAGUGGCGCCUGUAUCUCUGCAAAAGCUAUAUGUCCGUCUGCCAGAAAACACGAGGAACAUACUACAAAGGUGGAUCGCCGGACGUGUGCCUUUCGACAGCAGAAUCGAUGAGCUGAUCAGGCGAUGCAUGAGCUCGCGGUAGGGCCCUGAGUCCUGGGAAGUGGGAGCAGUAGUAUCAAACAGAUAACGUUGUUAGGUUAUAUUACCAAAAUAGUGGAGCAUAUAUACGUGUGUCUUCACUAGCUAAUUUGGCCCGUGGACGCUCGAACGACUCACGAACAUGUCGCGAGACGGCCCUUGGUGCCGGCAAGAAGCCAUGGAACGAAGCAGGAAGCAUAUGCGUUUUUAUCCAUCCAUGCAUGCAUCACUACGGCAGCGUCGUAGUGGAUGGAGUAGGUGAUUAUUCGACGACGAUCGUGGGCGUGUGGCUCGAGGAAUUCUUAGCGUUUGCAUUGUCAACCCACGUGCACGCACGGCACAUAUACCUAACGGAUAAUCCUGGAUCGUCACUGCUUUAGCUCACUCGCUCACUCGGCUAGAUUUAGGUGAAAGUGUGGGUUUGGUUCGACCUGUUUGAGUUUCGGGUCUGCACGUACAAGCUGAACAUGGCAUCCUUUUCCGUAGCCAUACACAUGAUGCAUGCAUUUGAUCGAGUAUACCGACAUUCGUCAGCAUAGAACAUGUAUGGUGUAAGUAAUUAAAUGGGUUGUUUUCCUGUCAGAACAAGAGAGGCGAGCAUCUCCUACGUGGAAGCACAAGAUGUGUUGAAGGUAAUUUGUACAUCUAAACUCACAGCUUUUCAAAAAAAAAAUCUAAACUCACGUGUUGGUUACAAUAUGUUCAUUAAUUCCGUACCUGAUAAAUUACCAACUAGCUUUCGUAGCUCAGUUGGUUAGAGCACCCGUUUAGUAAGCGGGAGGUCUUGAGUUCGACUCUCAAUGAAAGCAAAUUUAUUUUUCUUUUUUUUGCCUUACCUUUUCUUCUUAAUUUUAUUUUCACAAACAUUUUCUUUUGACAAACUCAUGAUUACUAUUACAGUGCCAAAUGUUAGUUGGCACAAAAAUCCCAAAUGGUAUCUUCCAGUCCAUAUCCAUAUCAUCAAUUUUUUUUAAAUGAAUCGGACAAGGAGAGCUGCCGAUUAUAUUAAAAAGAAAGAGUUCCAGACUAGAAAAUUACAAAAACACCAAAGCGACGAGAGGAAAAAAAUUAUUACUUACACUUAUCAACAACGCGUCAGAAGGGCGGAAAAAUGUCUUGCACCAGCCAUACACCACAUCGCGGCUUUGACUUUGAGCUUUGUAAAGAGCAUGUUUGUUGAUUGUAGACUCCGUGCGAUUAAAAAUCGCAUUCCACUCUCGCCACACCAUCCACGAGGUAAGCAUGACGAGGGAGCGCAUGCCUCUUCUUGAGCAGCAAUUAGUUGCUGCCCUCGCCGUCCACCGUAGAUCCAUGUCAUCAUGGCUGACAUACCAUUGCACAAAGAUUAAGCCACGAGGUAAAAUCGCAGGCCGGCAUCGUGCUUACACUUUUGACUAGCACCAUCAUUUUAACAGCGUUUUGACCGCACUCGCAGUCCAAAUCAAACUUUUUCCAAGCCUAUUUAUCCUCGAUUAUUUUUAUGGCACACGAUCUCCUUGAGAAUGGGAACAGAGGCUAGAACGACCAACGCAACUCCGGAAUCUCAAAGUGGUUUGAAAUGUGGCAAAAGCCAUGGACACGUCAGCCUCGACAAGCAAACAUGGAUUGAAUUGAAUUGCCCAUGCGCAGCUUGCAAUUCAGCUCAAAUGACUAAUCCUAGUUCGUUGGUGACAGUGGUCAAAGGAGCAAUGUAUUCAGACUUUCAGAGGAGGUUUAUCUGAUGUUCAUGUUGUUGAUGCAUGUCUGAUUCAGCACUCGGCGCAUAUGGUCUUCAAGAAAGAUUCAGUGAAAUGAUGAGACCUUGCUCGUAAGAUCUCGAGGACAAGUUCAAGUUGGACUCGCCCAUGCGGUUGUUCCCUCCAGGAUGAACACUGCUGGUGCCUUUGGAAGACGAUGAGAUGACUUGCAAACGUCGGUAGAAUCGUAAGUGGGAUUUGAUCUUGCCGAUCUGGAAAAUGUGCUGAAAGGGGUGUGAAAAUCUGUGGCUCUGCGCUUGCCUUUUGGUCUAUCUCAAGCUCUCAACUACUCAGCUCGGCCUUGCAAAGUUUAUCAGUGAUUCGCAAAAAGAAAAAGGAAAGCAAACUUUCUUUGAAAAAAACUUCAAGAAAAAAGAAAAACAAAGAAAAGUUUAUCAGCGGCUUGGUGUCUAAAGUAGCACAAUGGACAUGUCGGAACUGACAAAAGUUUGAGCGUUAGACUAUAGGAGUAACAUCAAACUGUUCUGAAUUUCGUACAGUGGUAUCUACAUAUAAACUAUGCUUGUUUUGUUUUACAGCCUUUCAGGUAGGGAGAUCGUGAUGUUACAGUACUUGAUAGAGAUUGCAAGGUGAUGGAUUCAUCUUUUUCUUGCAGUGGCACAACAAGCCUGGCUCUGCACUUCAAAUUCUAGCUAGAGCACCAUUUAUUUUCCAUGAAAACCUCAAUAGCAAGUCUUGUCAGGCCCAUGGCAGAAAAUAGUACAGCACUGGGCCUCUGCUAUGGCAUGCACAGCUUUGGGCCCCAGAAAAUUGCAGCUCCCUUUUUUUUUUGAGGAACUCUGCCACCUCUGCGGGUAUGCCGACCUGAACAUUUGUAUUGAAAAGAAUUAGGUUGACGUACAUCCCUAGAUUUUUGGAGAAAAUUUGCGGCUACUCUUUUACUCGCAUCUCUCUCAGACCUGAAUGAAGCUGCAGGGCAACUCGUCACCGUCACCAAUUCACCAUGAUAGGAUAUGUAACAACAAGUGGUCCAUUUUUGUGGAUUGGAAUCGAUAUAUGGUGUUCCAGGGCACCAAUUCCUUGCCGACACCGCAAUGCGUGCCUGACGCAGACUCCUCUAACACAUUGACCUGCAUUCAGUAACGCCGCUAGCUCACUGCUCAACGCCCAUGUCACUAGGUUGGAGUGCAGCAGCACUGUGCAGGUGCCAUGGACUUGGGGAUUUUUUUUUUUUUUGUUUUGUUUUGAAAGGACGGGGCCCUACUGCCCUUAUGCAGGAUCCAAAGCACAAGUUCUUGGACCAUGGAUGGAAUCAGGAAGUAAGUACACUGGAUGUCUCCCUGCAUGUGGGCUCAUGAGAGGCAUGCAUGACCAAGGGUUUCCAUGCAUUGGCAUCAGGCUUGCAUGAGGAACUGGACCCAAUUUAAUAUUUUGGGGCCCGGUCCAUUUUGGAUUGGAUUCAAUGUGUUCCAGACCAGACGGCUACCAUCUUGACCCUGCAUUGAGUUACAAGUUCAGUUUCCUAACAUUUUGACUGGCAUUCAGUGUUGCUGCUGUGCAGUGCCCAAGUCUCAAGGUUUCAGUACAGCCAUGCCUGCGCCAGUUUGGACUGGCUAGAUUCAAGAAGAAUCCAAAGCACAGAUUCUUCUCGGACCAUGUAGUAGGAGCCUUUGCAAAGUCAGUCAGUCCAAGGAAACCAAUCUGAAAGAACUACUAUGGAAAACAUAAUUUCAGGUCGUACUCUCAGAUCUCCCUUGAGCUUUUUUUUUUCCUUGAACGAAAAACUAAAUUUUUUUAGUGGUUGCUUAUAUCAAAACUGUUUCAGAGUGUUAUCUUCUUAGUGCAGAGUUCGACGGUUGAGGUGGUUAGUGCUUCAGAAAACAAAUGUAAGGUAAAUAUGCAAAGCUUGCAGAUUCAGGGGGUGUUUGGAUACACCCCACUAAAGUUUAGCACCUGUCAUAUCGGAUGUUUGGAUGCUAAUUAGGAGUAUUAAACAUAGGCUAAUUAUAAAACUAAUUGCACAGAUAGAGUCUAAUUCGCAAGACGAAUCUAUUAAGCCUAAUUAGUCCAUGAUUUGACAAUGUGGUGCUACAGUAACUAUUUGCUAAUGAUGGAUUAAUUAGGCUUAAUAGAUUCGUCUCACGAAUUAGCAUAGGGUUCUGCAAUUAGUUUUAUAAUUAGCUCAUGUUUAGUCCUCCUAAUUAGCAUCCGAACAUCCGAUGUGAUACUGCUAAAGUUUAGCACCUAUUAUCCAAACACCCCCUCAGUUUAUUCUUCUUUUUUCUUCAUAGUUCUUAGCCCUGCAUAACUGCAUUUAGUCUUUUUCAAAAUUUGAUCCACUCAACACAUGGAACAGAAGCAAUGAUUAACUCUCACCAUUCUGACUCACUUGGGCGGCCGGGAGGCGACGCCGUCGCCCCAAACGAGGCCUCGCCAGAUCUCCAGCUCGGCCACUGCCGUCGGGCCAGUGCCGACAUCAAGCGAUGCCGCGCGUGUCCUUCCCCUUCCUUCCCUUCUUCAUUUUCUUGUUGGAGCUCGAGCUGCACGAGGAUGGCUGGAUCCACGUCUGGGGAGGCCGGAUCCACUUGUCUUGCAUACGGAUCCGUGUCAUUCGACGUGCGAUUCCGGCAGUGGGGGCCUCCAUUGGCCGCUUGCAGAUGCAGGAGGCUCAGCUGCUGCUGCUGCCGCCGCGGGCGGUGGUAGCUCGGCCUUUCGGCGGCAGUGGUGGCUGCAUGGGCUGGCCACCGGUCAGCGGAUCCGCUGACAGGCGCGGCGGCGGAUGCUCCUAGGCACAGGGCGGGGUCCGUCGCGCGAAGUGGCUGUACGCGUGGGCGAGGAUGGCGGCGAGCAGCAAUCAGGCGUGGACGAGGAGGUGUCGUGAUGACGAUGCGAGGCCCCGAGGCGGCAAUGGAUCCAACUCCGCCUUGGCCAGGCCGGAUCUGGCCGCUCAUCCAUGGUAGGCCGCGGGAGGCAUGGCGGCGGCGGGAGUUGUCAGUGACACGACCGCAGUAAUGUGCAGGCGCGGGCGUGGAACACGGCCCUGGCGGUGGCUUGGUGCCAUGGCCGCCACAGCAGCACGAACAAGGGCGCGGCGGCGCGCUGCCGCGGAGGCAGGUCGCACGUGGGUUUGGAGCCUGUGGCGAGGUGGAUCUGAGGUUGGCGGCGCGUCAGGGCGGCGAGCCUGGGGCGUGGGCAUACAGUUGCAGCGGAUGAGGAGGCACGGCGGCAAAAGCCCUUACCGACAAUGUUGCUUGUGACGAUGGCAGCGGUGUCCUAGGGCGUCGUUCUCCCCAUUGGGACGUCAUGUUGGAGCUUUAUCCCUACUGCAUAUGGUUCUCUGGGUGAAAACCCUAUCCAGAUUCUAGACGAGCGAUGGCGGUGCCCUCCUUGGAGACGUCGUUUAUAGAGACACAACUCGGUUUGUGGCAAUACUGGUGACGCCGAUAGUCAUAGCAGUCUACUGCUGGUGGCGACGGUCCGCCGUGAUGGGCUUGCAAAGCGGCAAGGCGGCAUGGUGCAAGAUAGCAAACUUGAUGGGGGUUGCUGAGCUCACGUGGAGGUGAUCGUAGUUGUGGUGGCGGCUAGGGGUUGCCGCAUGGUUGUUGGGUUGGUUGCUUGCAGCGGACCGCGACUGGCGUUGCUUGGCAGUUGUCAGUGCGGCGUGGGACUACGUCCGAGGAUAGCGCUUGCAGCAACGACGUCGUGGGACGACUAGGCUUGCGACGGGUUGCUCAGCUAUGCUGAGCUACUCUGGUGCGAUACGUAGUCGGAAGACGGCGCAAGCGACUUCUUUGGCUUUCUGGCAUGGCGGCAGAGGAUAUGUGCGCGGGUUGAGCAACGAGGUGAAGUCAACCUGCGGCGGCGGCUUUUGUUGUUUGAUGGAGACCUUAGGUUCCGGGGCAACAUUGCUGCCAUUCUGGCGGCGACAUAUGAAACGGAUCCGUGACAUGCAGGUUUGUGGCGGACGUGGUAAGGCCCCCGCGCGUGGUGUUUCUUCAAGGCGACAAGAGCAAGAUGGAUUCCAACGCCAGAUGUGGCAAGGCCCCCGUGCGUUGUGUUUUCAUGGUGGCGAUUGCGAGGCAGCCUGCGAGAGGUCCGAAUUUGGUGGUAUCACUCUAUCGGGUGGAGUGUGAUGUUGCAACGGCACUACGACGAAGAGUCCCGCAUGGCGGUGGUCUUUUCGGUGCGGUGCGGUGCGGUCUGUUUCUCUCGAUUCUUGUCGACGUGGAGUCAGAGGUUCAGCGACUACAUGAGCGUGAGACUAUCGGGAGGUGCCGCGAUAAAGGCUUCGGCCCUACGCUGUUGCAAGUCGAGUGCUGUAGUGUGCUCUGCUGUCACUGUUUGAGUGGAGUGGUGCGACCGCGUUGAUAUCCCAAUCCAACCGAUCAGGUUUAGUGGUUUUGAGUUAGGUGGUUAUCCGCGUUGACAUCCCAAUCCAACCGGACGAGUCGACCAGUUUUUUCUCCUUUCUUUUCUUUUUCCAGUCUAUCACCUCCCUGAACUGUAGUUUUGUAUUUUUUCUGCUAUAUCAAUAGAAUUCUUGCGCGGUUUGUAAAAAAGAAGAAGCAAUGAUUAGGGUUGGUGGUGCGUCCCUAUUCGAUCAAUUGCUCCUUCCACGUAGACCUCUCUCUUAUAUUAAAAAAAAUUAUAAUCAUAGACCUGUCUCCAGCAAUUUCUUGUCAGUCUUUGGUUGCCCCUUGGCAAACAUUGCAGCUUAGAGCUUCCAGAGAAGCAAUGAUUCAGAACUGGCACGAGUAUUUGUUUAACUGCCACCCGUCUGCAAGCAGGAGCUGUUGAAGACACUAAUCUGAGUGUGAAAUCCACUGAGAAAAGUAAGACCCAGUUUAAGAGUUAAGACCAAAUCAUUCCGAAUGAUCGCCGAAAGCUUUGUCCUAACAAAGUACCCAGCUUUGGAUCGAGUUUGGACAGCACAAAAGCACGCAAGUGAUGUGACGCUGACCACUCAUGAACAAGUGGAUUGGUCAGUGUCACCAACCUUUUUCCCUUCUGAUCAUGCUGUUGCCGAAUGCCACAACAUCGGCAGUCGAAGAUCUGUCUAGUGUAGUCGAAAAUCAGAAACUGCUCCAAAAGACGUGAAAUGCUGGUGCGAUUUGAGUACUCCUCCGUGGAGACUGAUGCAGGCAAGGCAUGCUCCUGUAAAAAGUGAGCAAGUGCUUGGUGCCAUGGCUUUUCAUCAGUUCAUACCCUGCCUGGUGCCUGCAGCAUGGAGGCAGCACAGCAGCAUCUGCAGUCAAUCGAUGAGAUGAGAGUAGUUACCAUGAUGUACAAUUGACAAAUCAGUUUGUGCCGGCACUCAGAACUCAUAAAAAGAAGAGUACUGAGUACUAGGGAUUAACAGUGGUGAGCAGUAAUUUCUGGUAUGUUGGCAGUUGGCUUGAAUUUUUUUUUUCUACUCUGCCACAGCUACAAUAUGAACAUCCAGAAUGACGAAAAGGACCAUGAUCAUUGCGCAACGACACAUGCGUCAUGUCUGAAUGAUUGGGUAAGGCCGGUACGAGCCAACACAUGCGGUGCUUCCUAGCGAUCGCGACCGCGGAGAUCUGGUGCAUCCGAAGUAGACGGAGUUGGUUGUUGAAGUUCAUGAUCUAGUACUGGAGAUUUCUCCAACUCUGGUUUUGCAACCAAAUGUUUGUAAACACCUGAAUUCAUCUGAAACCUCGAAAUCCAGACGGAUCGUCGUUGGAACUAGUAUAACACCUGCAACCACAACCAUGCCAAGGGUUGCAGCCUGCUAGGCUAUCUCUGAUAGUCUGAUGCAGAAGUAGAGCUGAUGGUUCAGUAGGAAGUGCCCAUGACAGGUGGGUCCACACCGUGUCACACUGGAGAGAGGAGGCGUCAGGCAUGUGCUUGUGGUUGUGGGCGCCAUGCACGACCUUCACAGCUCAUAGUUUUUUGACCGCGUAACAGAAAAAAGUGAUUGGGAUGAGCGAAGGAAGCAUCUCCAGGUCAGGACGCGAGCAAACCAUAGGCCGAUCGAUCCUACCAUUGCUUUCGCUUCACUUCAAAGCUUUGGUUCCCUGCUGGUCAGCAACCAUAGGCUGUGAGCUGUGACAGCUUGCAAGUUGCUGCUAGGAUUUACCUUAUGAUAAUUUCCAUUAGAUGCGUGGUAAUCAAGGUCAAAGCAAAGCAUUUGUGGACAAAGACAGUAGGCCUUUUGAACAGUUAGUUGUUCAGGAGCAGCAUUCUGUUCCUGAGUCCUGACAGUACCCAAAAGCAUUCAUGUUCCAUCAGAUAUGGAGGCCUCAGGUGCUCACCUUAACAGAAUUACUACAAAGCAAACCUUAAGUAGUUAACAAACGUGAUUGCCCCAGAGUCCUAGGCUCCAAACUCCAUGAAUGGUUCUUCAGUUCUAUCAGGAAAAUGGAGAUCAUGGAGCUUGAUAUGUGUACUUCAACAAUGUCCUAAGACACAGCACCACACUAGAAAGAAAUUCAGGGGGCUAAUUUCACAUCCUAAAGCUUAGAUGCAGGUAAUUAAAUACUUUAAGAUAUCUGAAUUUCAUAAGUACACAGGCCUAACCACACCCCAACCAAACAUUAAGUGUGGGAUAAUCAAGGUCAAGGCAAGCAUUUGUGGAAAAAGACAGCUAGUAAUGUUACUAGGGUAUACUACUAUUGAACAGUUGUUCGGGAUCAGGAGUAGCAUCCUGUUCCUGUACAGUGUGAAGCAAGGAAAGGCAUUGCAUUAACUGACAAACCAAAGGCACCUUUCUUCUUGCCUGGAGACUUGAGUGAGGGCAAAGUACAGUACAACAUAUGAAUGUUGAGUUGCUUACCGUAACACAAGUACAGUUGUACAAAUCAAACAUGAUUGCUCCAUAAUCAUAGGCUUCUAACUCCCUACUAAGCUCCUGAAUUCUAACAGGAGGAUGGACAUUAGGAAGCUUGAUAUAUACAGAACAAUGUCCUAAUUAAGCCACACACACACACCAUACCACAAAUUCAGACCCUAAAGAUUCCACACCCUAAUCGACGAUGGCUGAAUAACAGGUACCUAAAUUUGACACCCUAA